ACGCCAACGGCCAGGAAUAGAGCAUGUGUUGAUAGUGCCUCCGGCUUUUCUCUUCUUUGCUUCAACAAAGCCUCCCUUGAUUAGUUGUUCUAAGUAACUCUCAGCAGUUGCCUCACUAUUGUCUGGAAUGAAACCUUCAGCUAUCCACAACUGAUAUAACUGCCUGGUGGAUAUCUCUAGGUGUGCGGCAAACACAGAUAAGUAGAGGAAACAAAGUUUCAAGCAAAAAGGUAAACUGCAACAUUUGAAGUACCGACGCGCAAAGGGUCGGCUGGUUGCUUCCGUUUUAUUUUCUUUUAAUGAGAUGCUUCCAUGAUAUAAGAUGGGGAAAGGCCAUCCUUUAUAUGUAGCUCUCAAUGGUCCUCCAGUGGGCACAAAAUCAAGCCCAAUGUUCUCUCCGUCUUCGAACUGAAAUGAGGUGACAAUCUCAAUUCGGCUGAGUGUGAUUAAUACUCUACUUCCAUUCUGAUUAUCCGGAAGUAUUUCUCGAAUAACAUCCCACAUAUCAAUUCUCCAUACAUCAUCAAUCACAAUCAAAUACCGCUUGGUCAUCAGAUAUUCAUGAAGAAUAACUUUUUUCAUUUCAUAAUUUUUAUCCAUUAUUUCACUCAACCUAGAUGAAGGCAUCAGACACUUAAUAACGAUAUCUAAUAUUUGGUCAGCAUCAUAUUCAUUUCUGUAAGGCUCUGAAAUCCAAGCGUGACAAUCAAAAUAAUGCUUCACAUAACUGCUGUUGUAAGCCUCUCCGGCGAAAGCCGUUUUGUCCAACCCAAUGCUAUCAAGUAUGGCCACCACUGAAUGCUGAGUUGGUCCCUCGAUCAAUAGAUCUAACAACUCCUCCAUUCUAUCAUCUAGGCCCACCGUGUUCCAAUUCUUAGAAGAUGAAGAUAUACCGGCUUCAGCUUCCAGAUUUUUGAAGGCAUCAAAGAUUUCGGAAUCGAUGUGCGGAACUUGUUGAGUCCGUUGUUUUAUAUCAAUGAUUCUGCUUUGGAGUCCUUGGAGAGCAUAAAAAAUGUCCUGGCUGCAGCUGCUUUGACUCUUCUGUUCACUAAUGCUGUUGAUGAAUGUGUCAAUGACCUUCUCAGAUUCAUACGUAAAGCAAUUGAUUUCGUCCAUAACGGUCGCCAGAUCUGGGUUUUCAAUUUCUCCGUGUCCUAUCUUUUCCCGCAGAAGGCAGGACGUUUCACAUUCAAAUUCACUUAGCCAAGAAGUAACGAUUUCAAUCUCGGCAUGAAGGUUCUGAACAGGUUGUUUUGCAGCAUCAGGCAACUUGACUUCUUCACCAGCUAACACCCUUCGCAGCCUCUCGGAAAAUAGUCUGAACUUGAUGUCCAUAUCUCCUCCUCUCUCUGAGUCACCCCGAAAUCAGUCCUGUAGCAUGCAAAGAAAUAAUUAAAAGAGAGAGGGGAAAAGGAAAAUAUGCUUUAAAGCUCUCAAUUCAAACAUUAGUGCUGGCUCCCGUACCUCCCUUCUCUUAGCUAGUUCUCCAGUCAAGAAGUUGAAUCAAGAUCGUUGACUCUCAAAUGAGAACAUAUCAAGGCAGAAUCUUUGUUUAAAAAAAAAAAAAAAAUCAUUGUUAAAACUUCUUAGCUCUUAAUUCAAAUAUUUAUGUGUCCGCUGAAACAUUUGUUGUUGAUGAAUGGAAUUGGUCUUAGGUUGACCGACGCAACUCUUUCUCUCAGCACUCAAGUAGUGUGAGCAUGUUAGUUUAGUCAAUAGUUUCUCCUAUACAUAAAUGAUGUUUUAUUAUAGAAUUUUGAUAAUAUGUACAAUGGGGAAGUAGCUGUAGAAAAGAGAUUGGGUUUUGGUUUAUGUGAUAUGGACUUGGAGCAUAAUAAAUUAUACAACUUGCAAUUAAAUCCAAAAUUGCAGUACUUCAUUACUUUUGUCUUCUGUGAAUAUAAAACACUGACUGUGUAAUCAUAGUACUUUUUUAAUAAGGACUAUGAUGAAAAUUAAAGACAAAUAAUGAUUUCAUGGAGUUAGUCACUGAGACACUGACUGCUAUAUCAUGAACAAGUUUUUCCGUGACUGUUUCUCGUGAAAAGGAAAUUUUUAAAAACUUUAUCAAUGCAGGUGAUGAAUAAAUAUGCUACCACUUGCAGCUAGGUUGGAGAAGAUGAGGGGAAGGUGACGCUAAUGAAUAAAUAUGCUACCACUUGCAAUUAAUAAAAUGCUAACCCUGUCUGGUAUGCUAGCUCUGUUCAUUGAAAGCAAAAGCAAUGGAAUCUUUGACCUUGCUGCCACAAGAUGAUUGUCAUGGAAGGCACCAAAGUUUCCAAGUAUGUAUGUAUAUCACACACACAUACUUGCAUGUAUGUAUAUCACAGAUAAAAUUUGUAUCCCAGGGUUAUAAAUGUGAAUUACUCACAUAAAUAUGCAUUAUUAAUCAUGUACGAUGCUCUCUUAUUUCUUCAACGAGAUUUAGAGAAAGUACUAAAUCCUUUGUAAAAUUUUAUAUUUAAUAUAUCUUCAUUUUAAAACUACAUCCAUAUCCCGCAUAAAUUUGGGGAUCAUUUUAGCAUUGUUUUUUAAGAAAUGCAAAUUGAUAAAGAGUUCUAACCGCGACAUAAGGGUGACAAAAAUAAUAGUAAAUUGUGCAAUGUUACAAUGUUAAUUCAAAAUAGUUAUAAUUUUUUAUUUAAUACGGUAAAUAAAAUUUACAGUUGUUUUGUAAUCAUUGUAUGAUUCUUUGAUUCAAAUAUCAUUAUUAUAUGAACCCUCACCUUUUUGAAAGGAUUACAUCUUAAGAAACUAUUUAUAAUUAUUUUCAUUUGAGUCAUUAGUGUUAAAAAUAUAACAAUGAAAUUAAUGAUAGUCGAAUUCCAAGUAGGAAUGACAGAAAAAUCCGGUCUAACUAGAGCAUGUUUUCUAAGUACUCUGGCUGGACUUGGACUUUGGUUUAAAAGCCCGAACCCAACCAGAAAGCCCAAAAAAUAUUGAAAAUUUUAAAAAUCUAUAUUACUUUAAUUAAAAUACAACUUUUUACAUAUAUGUAAUCCACUUAUAGCAUAUAUUUAAAGUUUUAAGUUAUUUGAACCCAACUAUUAAAGCCUAAUCUAACAAAGAAAAAACUAAAUUUUAUAAACUAUAAAAUUUGUAAAAUAUAAUGAAAAAAGUUUUUUUUUUUAAAAUACAUAAUGUAUACUUCAAGCUUUUUGGCUUGGCUUUGGAAAAAAAAAAAAAAAACCAACGUUUUGUCAUCCCAAAUUCCAAGCCUUAAAUACUUCUCCAAAUGUAUAGUACAACAUUGUAUAAUAGGACCAAUCACAUGGAGAUGAUUUGUAAAUUUUUGCACGCAAUUUUAAUAUGCACAUCAGAAGAGAGGCAGCAAUCUUAGUUGAUACUUUUAUUUGACAUAUGAUGUAAGAAAUGAAACAAAGAUUGUUGUUAACAUAAAUUAUUCUUUAUUGAUUUUGAUGAUAACAAACAUGAUUAAGAUUAAUUAAUCUUUUAAAAACUCAUCAUAAUUUUCAUCUAUUUUGACAAGUUUCAUAAAGUUUUUUUAUAAAGAUUUGGAGACAAAACAGUCAUCUUGCAAAAUAGUUCACUGCAGCAGUUUUUGUGGUAAACGGCGAUCCGACAUGUGUAAUAAACGGCUUGCCGAUUUCAAGCAGAAAUGGAGAUUAGCCUCUGGACGUAAACGGCGAUCCGACAUGAAUAAUAAACGGCUCGCCGAUUUCAAGCAGAAAUGGAGAUUAGCCUCUGGACGUAAACGGCGAUCCGACAUGUGUAAUAAACGGCUCACCGAUUUCAAGUAGAAAUGGAGAUUAGCCUCUGGACGUAAACGGCGAACCGACAUGUGUGAUAAACGGCUCGCCGAUAUCAACCAGUAGCCUCUGGACCUAAACGGCGAUCCGACAUAUAGGUAACGGCGAUCCGACAAUUUGAAAAAUCAGCCCAACGGUCAUAUUGACCAGUCAAACGGCGAUCCGACAUCUAGCUAACGGCGAUCCGACAGUGUACAGAAAGUCAAUAACGGCUAGUUUUCAGCUGCAGCUAUAAAUAAGCUCAUUCAAAUUCAAACAAAGCUUGAUCACAACACGACCAUUGAGCUAAUAUUCGAGAAUACAAUCUUCAUAGAGCUUAGAACACAUUCUUGCUUCAUCUAUUCACAAAUUAAGCAUCAUUGUGUAAUCCUAUAUAUUGUGAGAGGCAAAUCAAUUUGUAAUCUUUUACUUUGAGUGAUUGUAAGUGUUGGGAUACACUUGGGUUAAGAGAUUGGGGAUAAUCUCUUGUUGUAAAGGUUUAUUGACACCUUGGAAGUCAAGUGUAAGCAUUUGAAGCCUUGGAGGCUUGCUUAGUGAAAUCUUCAAGCCCAGUGAGCUUGGAGGAGUGGACGUAGGCGGGGAUUGCCGAACCACGUAAAAAUUAUUGUGUUUGCUCUCUCUUCCCUUACUCCUUUACUAUUGUGCUUUAUUGAAUUUAUUGUUUUUGAUUCCAUUAAGGCAUUAGAUUAAAUUGUUGUGUGAUUUGCUUAGCUUAAUUUUAAAAUCCCAAUUCACCCCCCCUCUUGGGUUGCACACUUGUAUUUCAUUUGGUAUCAGAGCCUUGUUCUCUUAUUAAGACUUAAUUGUCUAGAGUAAAAGAUCCAUGGCAACCCUAAAUGACUCAACCUUUAGAGAAGGGCAAUCUACAACUAGACCACCAUUCUUUGAUGGAAAUGACUAUGCUUAUUGGAAAACUAGAAUGAGAAUCUACUUGCAAGCCUUAGAUUAUGAAAUUUGGAAAGUUGUUUGUGACGGUUCAUUCAUGCCUAUGUUUAAAGAUGAAGUAGGAGAUGAUAUUCCUAAACCAUCAAGUCAAUGGAGUGAGUUAGAAAAGAGAAAAAUGUCUCUAAACUCCAAGGCUAUGAAUGCUUUGUUUUGUGCCCUUGAUAAGAAAGAAUUCCAUAGAGUAUCUAGUUAUGAAAGUGCAUAAGAGAUAUGGAACAAACUUGAAGUUGUCUAUGAAGGGACAAAUCAAGUAAAAGAGUCUAAAAUCAGUAGAUACACUCGUCAAUAUGAGUUGUUCCAAAUGGAACAAAAUGAAAAUGUGUAUUCUAUGUAUACUAGAUUCACGGACAUAGUGAACACCCUAGGUGCCUUAGGGAAAAUCUUCUCAAAUAGUGAGAAAGUUAAGAAAAUCAUUAGGUCACUUCCAAAAGAAUGGAGACCUAAAAGAACCGCCAUUGAAGAGGCCAAAGAUUUAAAUACUUUACCUCUUGAUGAUUUAAUUGGUUCUCUCAUUUCAUAUGAAGAGGAUUUAGCUGCAGAAAAAGGACAUGAUGAGAAGAAGAAAAGCAUUGCUCUCAAAGCUUCAAAAUAUGAGAGUGAUGGGGAGAGUGAACCAGAUGAUGAAGAGCUAGCCAUGCUAGCAAGGAGGUUCAGAAAAUUCUUCAAGAAAACCGGAGAGCGAAGAAAUUUCAGAAACUUCAAGAACCUUAGGGAGAAGAAGGAGGCAAUCACAUGCUAUGAAUGCAAGAAGCCUGGACAUAUAAGAUCAGAGUGCCCACUAAUCAACAAACUCAAGAAGAAAGCAAUGGUUGCAACUUGGGAUGAUAGUGAGGAAGAAUCAAGUGAUGAAGAAGGAUCGCAAGAAGUAUCAAACCUAGCACUCAUGGCAAUAUGAGGGAAUUAUGAUCUCAAUGAGGUAAGUGAUCCCACCUAUGAUGAAUUGUAUGAUGCUUUUAAAGAUUUACAUAAUGAGUUGAUGAAGAUUGGUAAAAAGAAUGUAUGUCUUAAAAAGGAAAUGGCAAAGCUUAAAAAUGAAAAUGAAUCUCUAAAUGCAAGAAUUGUUUGCCUAGAAGUAGGAAACAAAACAUUGCAUGAUGAAAUUGCAUUAUCAAAUGAAAAACCUAGCAUCUUACAUGAGCAUUUAGAAUCGCACAUAGAUGAGUUGAAAAAUGAGAACGAAAUGCUCAAGAAAAAGAGUAAUGAAUUGAAUGAAAUUGUUUUAAAAUUUACAAAUGGGCAAAAGAUGUUGGAUAAUAUGCUUAACUCACAAAAAUGUGUUUUUGAUAAAGGAGGACUUGGAUAUAAGCCUAACUUGAAGCAAAAGUAUUAUAAGAAUUAUUUUGUUAAAUCUACCUCCACAAAUGAUCAUAAGAUUGUAUGUCAUUAUUGUAAUCAAAAUGGUCACAUGAAAUAUAGAUGUCCCGUGAAAAGGAAUGCAUAUUAUGGUGUCAAAUGCAUUUGGGUUCCAAAAGGAACCGUUGCUAACUCUCAAGGACCCAAAAAGUUUUGGGUACCUAAAACUUGAGAUUUUUUCUUGUAGGGCUUGAAGAAGAAGAAAAAUAAAUGGUACUUGGACAGCGGUUGUUCAAGGCACAUGACCGGAAACUAUGCAUGGUUCUCAAGCUUCACCAAAAUUGAAAAUGGUGGAGACGUAUCUUUUGGAGACAACUCAAAAGGAAAAAUUCUUGGAAUUGGAAAUGUUGGUAAAGUCUCUUCAACUCUAAUUGAGAAUGUAUGUUUGGUUGAGAACUUGAAACACAACUUAAUUAGCAUUAGUCAAUUAUGUGACAAAUGUUAUAAAGUUAUCUUUGAUAAAUUUAGUUGUGUUAUUGAGAACUCAUGUGAUGGCAAAACCUUAUUUGUUGGGAAUAGAUGUGGUAAUGUUUAUAUCAUUGACAUAAAAUGUGCAUCUACUCUUGAUAAAUGUUUUUCGGCAUUGCAUGAUGAUUGUUGGUUAUGGCACAGAAGGUUAGGACAUGCAAGUAUGGAUUUGAUUUCAAAAAUUUUGAAAGAUGAUUUAGUUAAAGGUCUUCCGAAAAUUGGUUUUCAAAAGGAUAAGAUUUGUGAAGCUUGUCAAUUUGGAAAACAAAUUAAAACUUCUUUCAAGAAUAAAAACCAUAUUUCUACUUCAAAACCACUUGAACUUCUUCACAUAGAUCUUUUUGGGCCAUCUAGAUAUGCGAGUCUAAAUGGCAAAUAUUAUGCAUUUGUGAUAGUGGAUGAUUAUUCUAGAUAUACAUGGGUAUUAUUCUUAGCCAAUAAGGAUGAUGCUCUUGAUGCUUUUAAAGUGCUUUGUAAGAAAUUACAAAAUGAAAAAGUGCAUGGUAUUGUAUGCAUUAGGAGUGAUCAUGGAGGAGAAUUUGAAAAUCAUGCAUUUGAGAUUUUUUGCAAUAAUCUAGGCAUUGAGCAUCAAUUUUCAUCACCUAGAACUCCACAACAAAAUGGAGUUGUUGAGAGAAAGAAUAGGUCUAUUCAAGAAAUGGCUAGGACCAUGCUAAAUGAAAAUGCAUUACCAAAAUAUUUUUGGGCCGAAGCCGUCAACACCGCUUGUUAUGUUUUAAAUCGGGUGUUGAUUAGACCUAAUUUUAAUAAAACUCCCUAUGAGCUUUGGAAAGAUAGAAAACCCAACAUUGGAUAUUUCAAAGUUUUUGGAUGCAAAUGUUUUAUUUUAAACACAAAAGAUAAUCUUGGUAAAUUUGAUCCAAAAUCUGAUGUUGGCAUCUUUCUUGGGUAUUCAAACUCAAGUAAAGCUUAUAGAGUUUAUAAUAAAAGAACUUUAGUUGUGGAGGAGUCCAUGCAUGUUACGUUUGAUGAAUCUAACCCCUCCUCUGCGGAGAAAGGAGUUGCUAAUGAUGAUGCAGAUGGAGAGUUACAAGAAGAAUCAUCAAAAGAGAAUCAAGAGAAUGCACCACAAGAAAAUCAAGAGGAUAGACAAGAAGAACAAACAAAUAUGGAGCUGGAACAACAAGAUGGUAUUUCUCAAACACUCCCCAAGGAGUGGAGGUAUGUCUCUUCUCACCCUAAAGAUGUAAUUUUAGGAGAUCCCUCACGAGGUGUUACAACUAGAUCAUCACUUAAGAAUACUUGUGAGCAUAAUGCAUUCAUUUCUCAAAUUGAACCCAAAUCCUUUGAGGAUGCGGAAAAUGAUGAAUCUUGGAUUAUGGCAAUGCAAGAGGAAUUAAAUCAAUUUGAAAGAAACAAUGUGUGGGAAUUAGUUCCUAAACCGGAACAUCAAUCCGUCAUAGGUACUAAAUGGAUUUUUAGAAAUAAGAUGGAUGAAUCCGGUGUGGUUGUAAGGAAUAAAGCUAGAUUAGUGGCUCAAGGUUACAACCAAGAAGAAAGAAUUGAUUUUGAUGAAACUUUUGCACCCGUUGCUAGACUAGAAUCAAUUAGAAUGUUGUUGGCAUUUGCAUGUCAUAAAGAUUUCAUCUUAUUUCAAAUGGAUAUGAAAAGUGCUUUCCUAAAUGGGUAUAUUAUGGAAGAAGUGUAUGUAAAACAACUCCCUGGUUUUGAAAAUGAAAAGUUUCCAAAUCACGUUUAUAAGUUGCUUAAAACCUUGUAUGGAUUAAAACAAGCACCUAGAGCAUGGUAUGAUAGACUUAAGAAUUUCCUGUUGGUAAAUGAUUUUUCAAUGGGUAAAGCGGAUACUACUCUAUUUGUUAAGCAUAAGAACCAAGAUAUACUUAUUGUUCAAAUUUAUGUUGAUGAUAUUAUUUUUUGUUCUACUAAUGAAUUGUUGUGUAAAGAUUUUUCAUCGUGUAUGAGCAAAGAAUUUGAGAUGAGUAUGAUGGGUGAGUUGAAGUACUUUCUUGGACUUCAAAUCAAACAAAACGAGGAAGGAAUUUUCAUAAAUCAAGCCAAGUACGUAAAAGAUCUACUCAAACGAUUAAGCAUUGAUAACUCAAAGACCAAAAAUACACCAAUGAGCACAACAACCAAGCUGGACAAAAAUGAAAAAGGCAAAGAAGUGGAUAUCAAAAUGUAUCGAGGUAUGAUCGGAUCCCUACUUUAUUUGACUGCAAGUAGACCCGAUAUCAUGUUUAGUGUAUGUUUGUGUGCAAGAUUUCAGUCUUGUCCCAAGGAAUCUCAUUUGCUUGCUAUUAAAAGAAUUUUCCGUUAUUUGAGUGGAACCAUAGAUAUUUGCCUUUGGUAUCCUAGGGGAACUCAUAUAGAUUUAACAUGUUAUUCGGAUGCGGACUUUGCCGGUUAUAAAGUGGAUAGGAAGAGCACUAGUGGUACUUGCUAUAUUCUAGGACACUCUUUUGUUUCAUGGUUUAGCAAGAAACAAAAUUCUGUCGCACUUUCAACUACCGAGGCUGAAUAUAUAGCUGCCGGAAGUUGUUGUGCACAAGCACUUUGGAUGAAACAAACACUUAGAGAUUAUGGCAUUAAUCUUGAACAAAUUCCUAUUAAGUGUGAUAAUACUAGUGCUAUUAAUCUUUCAAAGAAUCCCAUUCAACACUCUCGAACCAAGCAUAUAGAAAUAAGACAUCAUUUCUUGAGAGAUCAUGUUCAAAAGAGAGACAUUGCAUUAGAGUUUAUUUCUACGGAAAAACAACUUGCCGAUAUUUUUACAAAACCACUUUGCGAAGAACAAUUUUCCAAAAUUCGGCAUGAACUUGGGAUGAUGAAAUUUUCACAUUAACAGCUUUAUUCAUGCUAUUGAGUCUAUUAACAUUGAUUGAUCUAUGCCUUGAUGCUUUAAUAUCUAUGGAAUGCUCAAUCGCAAUAUACAUGUGAUGUGUAUGGACAUUUGAAAAUGUAUGAAUUAAUUGUUGCAAUACAUAUUUAUAUUCAUGAAUUAUGCAUUGAACUGGCACUCAAAUCAUUUUGGAUCAAUAAAAUGAUCUUGAAAUGUAUUAAUAAGUAGCCAAAUAUCAAAAUAAAUGUGCGAAAUCAUAAGUUGUAGAAAACGGAUUGCCGUUAUUUCAAUAAACGGCUAACCGUUUUGGGCAGAAAUAAUGGAAAGUUUUCUGGGCGCUAUCGGUUCGCCGAUAACUAUCUAUCGACUCGCCGUCCUGAUACAAAAUUUUGAGGAGACUCCCUGGACCCUAUCGGCUCGCCGUUUUGAUGAAAUUUUUUUGGAGGACACUCUGGACUUUGUCGGCUCACCGUUUUCUCUAUAACGGCUCGCCGUUAUCACGCGUUAAUUGAACAGUCUUUCGUCUUCCUCCUCAUUUCGGUUUCUCUUUCUCUCUCUCUCUCACUUCAACCCGCGACUGCACCAGUUCUCUCCUCUCAAAUCCAUCACUUUUCUUGUCAUUUUUCACCAAAUUGCAGCAUUACAAACCAUUUCUAUCAUCUCUAGCACCUUUUAACAGAUUCAAAUCCUUCUUUUUCUUCAAAUUUUGAAAAAUCUCAUCUUGAAACCCUAGAACCAGCCGAAUCUCAUUUGUUCAUUUUGACCCAAAUUUCUUCAUUUUUCCAACUACAUUUCCACCUACAAUCACUAUCUCACACUUCGUUUCCACAUAUUUUUUUUAUCUCAUCUAUGGCGGAACGACCCCAAAGGCGUGCUCAAACCAAGCACACUGCUCCGCGACGUUCUAGUCCCCCCAGGUCUCCUCCUCAAGACUUCGAGAGUCUUCAUUUUUCUGAUGCCACCUCUGCUCAGCGAUUUCGUGAGAAAUUCAUGGGUAAACCCAUAAGUCAUUCCUCGCGCCUAUUUCUUUUUUAUGAUGAAGGGGGAGAUAAUUGGCAUUAGCAUUAUUUUUUUUCUUUUCUUUCUUCUAAUCAAUCUGUUUUAAACUUGUUUGAGAUUAAAAUUAAAUGAACUCUUUUUUAAGGGAAGUUAACAAGUCUUUCAAAAUCUCACAUAGGGGGAGCACAUAUUUAGGGGGAGCAAAAGUGCACAAGUAUUUUCUUGAAAAGUUUGUCAUCAUAAAAAAGGGAGAGAUUGUUAACAUAAAUUAUUCUUUAUUGAUUUUGAUGAUAACAAACAUGAUUAAGAUUAAUUAAUCUUUUAAAAGCUCAUCAUAAUUUUCAUCUAUUUUGACAAGUUUCAUAAAGUUUUUUUAUAAAGAUUUGGAGACAAAACAGUCAUCUUGCAAAAUAGUUCACUGCAGCAGUUUUUAUGGUAAACGGCGAUCCGACAUGUGUAAUAAACGGCUCGCCGAUUUCAAGCAGAAAUGGAGAUUAGCCUCUGGACGUAAACGGCGAUCCGACAUGUGUAAUAAACGGCUCGCCGAUUUCAAGCAGAAAUGGAGAUUAGCCUCUGGACGUAAACGACGAUCCGACAUGUGUAAUAAACGGCUCACCGAUUUCAAGCAGAAAUGGAGAUUAGUCUCUGGAUGUAAACAGCGAACCGACAUGUGUGAUAAACGGCUCGCCGAUAUCAACCAGUAGCCUCUGGACCUAAACGGCGAUCCGACAUAUAGGUAACGGCGAUCCGACAAUUUGAAAAAUCAGCCCAACGGUCAUAUUGACCAGUCAAACGGCGAUCCGACAUCUAGCUAACGGCGAUCCGACAGUGUGCAGAAAGUCAAUAACGGCUAGUUUUCAGCUGCAGCUAUAAAUAAGCUCAUUCAAAUUCAAACAAAGCUUGAUCACAACACGACCAUUGAGCUAAUAUUCGAGAAUACAAUCUUCAUAGAGCUUAGAACACAUUCUUGCUUCAUCUAUUCACAAAUUAAGCAUCAUUGUGUAAUCCUAUAUAUUGUGAGAGGCAAAUCAAUUUGUAAUCUUUUACUUUGAGUGAUUGUAAGUGUUGGGAUACACUUGGGUUAAGAGAUUGGGGAUAAUCUCUUGUUGUAAAGGUUUAUUGACACCUUGGAAGUCAAGUGUAAGCAUUUGAAGCCUUGGAGGCUUGCUUAGUGAAAUCCUCAAGCCCGGUGAGCUUGGAGGCGUGGACGUAGGCGGGGAUUGCCGAACCACGUAAAAAUUAUUGUGUUUGCUCUCUCUUCCCUUACUCCUUUACUAAUGUGCUUUAUUGAAUUUAUUGUUUUUGAUUCCAUUAAGGCAUUAGAUUAAAUUGUUGUGUGAUUUGCUUAGCUUAAUUUUAAAAUCCCAAUUCACCCCCCCUAUUGGGUUGCACACUUGUAUUUCAAUUGUAACAUUACAAAUUUUGCAAUUCAGCAUCCAAAAUAUCACUAGAACUUGCAAUACAAGCUUUAAUCUCUUCAACAACACGUAGAAUUGCGGCCAGGAACACAAACGAAAAUAUAGUUAAUUAUGCAUGCAUUAAAAAGAUGAGGAAGAGAAGAUUAAGGAACAACAUGAGGCCACCAAGAGAGUGAUGAAAAAUGUGGAUUUAAGUUUAAGUUCCACAAUGUUUACGUAAGCAAAAGUACAAAACUGAGAGUCUGAGGAUAAUGAUAUUAUUAAAUUUAAUAUGGGUUUGGUUCGUUUAGAUUCAUGAGUUUCUCUAGACAGUAUAUAUGGGGGGGCCAAAACUACUUUGCAUCGUAGGUUUUGUACACCACUCAUUUGUCAUUUACCAAAGUCACCAUUGGAUUUUAUGUGAUGGCUAGAAAAGAAACACAUAGAGAAAUAGGAGUAACUAGAGAAACAAAUAAUGAGCCAGUCACCUAGAUUGGUAAUUGAGCAUAGGGAAAUUAAAAAAAUUAACCUAAAUAUUUUUGAAUUAUUGGCUACUUCCAGAAAAAAUCUAAACCAGCAGUUUUUGAUCAAGCAAAUAAAUUAAUGGCAACAACAACGGCUAAUCGAUGCAGCGACGACAAUAGCUACUUCCGGCAAGAGUGGCCUCUUUAAUUUGAGUUAGUUCGCUGAGUUUAUGUCCAAAUUCUUAAAUGGAUAAUGGAUUUAUUGUUUUAGUACUAAUUGUUGAUGAUUAUAGGUUAGAUCUUGUUGAGCGAUUAGUUUUGUAACAUUAAGCUUGAAUUGGGAAUGAAAAUUGAUAAAAUGCUUAUGGAAAUAAGUUUGUUAAAUAUGGCAAUACAAAUGUUUGCUAAAUGCAUCAAAGAAUACAAUUUGUUGUUUAGGCUUAAUUUUGCUAUUAUUUUACUUGAAUGAAUAUUUAAGAAGGUUGCAACUAGUAUUGUCACUUGAAUAUAGGCAAUGGUAUGGUGUUAUAGGUGAUUAUGAGCAAAAGGUGUUUGUCACGAUAACCUUACAAGUGAAAACCUUCUUUUUCUCAAACAAAACCCAGAUUAAGAAGAUUCAAUACUUCAUCAUAACUAUCAGAAAACAAUAUCAAGACAAUAAUGCCAAGAACCAUUGUCUGUAAACUUUAUCCAUUGGAAAAAUCGUAAAUUAUGCUUACACGUACAAAUUUUUUUUUUUCGAUUUACAGGUGCUACGCCUUCAGCCGGUUACUCGUUUUCCAAAUGUUAAAUCUCAGUUGUUAGAUACAUUUCUUCACAAUCUAACGGCUCAUUCGCUAUAAGACAAAGGACUAGGGUACCAAACUCAUGACGCAAGAUAGCUGGAUCCUAUAUGGAGGAAAUUUAAUCCAUUUGACAACUAAAAAAUUCAGAAAUCAGACCUCGAUUUGACAACUUAGAAAUUAAACAAUUAAAUUUGUUCCAUAUGCAUGCAGAAAAUUAGAUGUAUGUAACUUGUCAUAUGCUAUAUAUAUUCUAUUAGGUGGAAGAUUUUCUACUUCAUUUGUAUGAAAUAUAUGGUAUCAAUCAAUAAAUUCUUAUUUUGUUAUAUAUACUAAUAGUAUCUUAUAGUAAACUAAGAAAUAUUAACGACCUUCUAGUGUGUUUUUGAGUUGUAAAAUAUUUUUUUAAAAAAAAUUGAGUUGUAAAGUCUAGUUAACUAUUUUGUGUUCCAUUACAGGUAUUAUGAAAGGUUUUUUAAGUUUUUAGAUGUUUUUUGACCCAUUUGUCAAUAAGUGAAACUAUUAGCACCACUUUAAACUCCUCAUAAAACCUUUCUUCUAAAAAUACACCAUUAAAAACAUAUGUAAAUCACAGUACUUUUAACAACACCUAUGUUAAUUCCACAAAUAACCUUAUAUAUUCUUUUUUCUUAAAAAAUCAUAUGAAAACAAAAAUCUUUUAUUACAAAACCUUUUCACCAAUUUAAUCUGAAGCCCUUGUUCGGUCCAUGAGAAUCAACUUUUCAAUUUAGAAUUGUUUGAGCUUCUUUUUCCAACUUUUUAUUCUUAUUCUUAUAUAUAAAUGAGAUUCUUAUAAUAUAUAAUUCAUUUUAUUACUUUAUUUUAUCAUUCCAUGGGAAAAGAUAUCAAAAUAUUACUAUGAAGUAAGUUAAACUAGUAGAAAGUAGAAUCUAAAAACUAGAUAAGAAAUAUUCUAGGCCAUCCUCUUGAGUGGAUCUAUUUUAAUUCCACGAACGUCCUUGUACACUUCUUUCUCACGAACUUUACUAUGAGAGAGAGAAAAAAGAAUUAAAUAAAUAUUUCUUUUAUACUAAAAAAGAUUGUUUGAAGCUAAUCCAAUAUUAUUUUAUACUCUGAAUGUGACAAUUCAUAUACUUUUAUAUGAACACGUAAAUCGAUAAAAUCAAGGGAACAAGUAGCCAUAAAAAAAAUAAGUCUUUCAUAAUUUGAAAAUAAUGAACUAAAAUUUCAGUCCAACAGAAACCGCUAAUUUAAGAAUAAAAAUAAAAAUAAAAAACAUUUUCACUAAAACAACAAAAUUAUCUUUUAUUUAAUAAAAAUAAAACCCAUGUGGGGUUAGAGGAAGAGAGAUGAAUUGUCAAACGUGAUUUGAUUAAAGUUAAAAAUAUAAAUUUAAGAUAUAAGAAUUCUUUUGGAGGUGCCAAUAGCUCCACUCUAUUCUCUUUUUGUAGUUCUGCAAGUUUUAAACACAUGGUUCUAUGAAGGUCUUAGAGGGUGCCGAUAGCUUUCAUUAAUGUGCAUAUAUGUUAAACAAUAUCGAAUUAUUAGAUGGACCUUACUACCUUACAGAUUCUGUGAGGUACACCUCUCUAAUAAGAAUGGAGCGUGGCUCACUUAAGACCACCUUUAUUUUACUUAUUUUGGAUGGACGUACCUUACAAAAUCUAGGUACCGUCUUCUUAUUUGAUCCAACGUAAUCAAACAAUCUAAUCUAAUUGACUUGCCGCUUUAUGUUAAUAUAUAAUUAUGUUUUCUUUCAAUUGUUCUAAUAGUUGAGAGUUUUAUCUGGAAGAUAGCUCGAAAAUCAGCACUAAUUCCUACUCAGAAGGGAGGGGAAAUAAAUUGUGAUAGAAAAUAAAUUAUUUGAGUGCUCUGUGAGUCGAAGACCCACUCUCAGAUAAACAACUAUCUUUGUAAAGCAGAGCAGAAUUCAGAAAUGUCAUUCUUCUCAUUGGGUCAUUUCUUCAAACGUCCUCUGUACAAACAGCUCACCCGCCAUCAUAAUCUAUUUCCAUUCAUAAAUCAAAAACCCAGAACCCAAUCAACAGCACCCUCUUCCGUUCUCAUAAAAGUUUCAGCCCGUUCUUCUUAUCUCUCAGUUCGCAUUUGCUGUCAAAAACAUGCGUUAGUGAGUUUCACUUUUUUUACUUGUCUGUGUUUUUAAGCAUUUUGAAUUAGUAAUUAUUUGGCAUUAAAAUUGAGGUGCCUUAACUUGUGUUGUCAGGAUAUGUUUUCUGAAGCUCUUCUAUGUUUCGGUGCAAGUUCUACAAGCGUGGAUGAACAUGAUAAUGAUGCUGAUGAGAAUUCUGAUGAGGUUGAAACUUUAUAUUUUAAUUUCUUCUUUUUUCUUUUCUUUGAUUAUUGAUUCAUGUCUUGUAAAGGAUCUUGAGAGCAACAAUAAACAAGAAAUGAAACUCAUAUCCCAUUUGCAAAUUGGCUUCUAUUUGUGUUAAAAAUGUGCUUCUAAUUUCCAAUGUAAUGUUACCAGUUGGCCUUAGAUUUUUGUUGACUUUGUUGGUUCACUUGCUAGAAAGGUAGCAAGAGGAAAAAAUUAAUAAUAAUACUAAAUAAGCACAAAAUUUUCAAUGUUUGUUAUGGAAUUGAAAAUUGUCUUCUUUCUGUGUUAAAAGAGUGCCUCGAAAACGCCAUUAUAAUGUUACUAGUUGGUCUUAGAUUUUGUUGAAUGUAGAGUGGCUUCUGAAUAAAACCUACAGUUGUUUUAAAUAUUACUUACAGAUUGCUUUUAUGCAGAUCUAUAUUGAUUCCAUAUUUCCUGAAUGCGAAGACGUGGAUGAGUGCAUAUUAAAUGCUGCUAAUUCCAUAGGCUUGAAAGAGACACCGCGCUAUGAAGUUAAAAUGGGCGAGCAAUGCAACUGGAUAAAGAAAACUCAGGUUUGUUUGCUCUCCUUUUUCUCUCUAUCACAACGGUAUACUUGGAAUUAUUGUUAUGUCAAUUUGAUUCUCUUUUCUUACAUGUUGCAGGAGUCAUUUCCUCCCGUUGAGGUGACAAAAUGACUAUGGAUUGUGCCCGAGUGGAGUACACCACCAGUAUGAUUAUCUCACUCCCUUGGGAGGUUUUGUUGCAGUAAUUUCUCAUAUUUUAUAGGGUACCCUCUUCUUCAUUGCUUCUGUAGAAGUCAUAUAAGCUAGUUGCUUCCGAAUCUUUAAAUUUAUUCAAUGAGGAACCUUCGUUUGGAAAAUUGAUUUUCAUCUGAUCCAAGAAGGUUGCUUUGAAGGAGAGAGCUUACGAAAUGCAGCAAGCAAAAUCAUAACUACAAAGCAGUAGACUAAUUGUUAGCUGACUCUAAGCAAAGGCAACAUUCAUAAAAGAUGACGAAGAGUUUCUAAUAUUUACCAAUAUAACUUAUACCAAGUGCACAGAAUAGAGCCAUCUGAACAUUCAGGAGCAUAAGAACAACCAAUGUAGCUGCAAAGAUGAGAUGUAAUUACUACUGUGAAGACGAGGAAAGAAUUCCAUUAUUUAUCAACAGCUAGACUGUAGUAUAAUGGAAAGACUUGCUAAGGAAAGUUUAAAGCAACACUCAUCCAGAGAAGGCAAGAACAAGUAUAGAAGCAAAAGUGCACACAUUCAUAUAUAGGGGUAACGAGUAAUGUAUCAUAAAUCACUUGCUCUAGCUCAGUAAAAAAAAAAACAACGCAAAAUUGCAAAUUCAUAGUGUUGUUAUUUAUCAAUUGGAACCCAGAAAAAAAAAAUCUGUAACUUAAUUAUUCAUUUAAGCAGAUUGAAACCCUUACAAACACAGGUAAGCAAAUCAAAAUUAUCAUUAAAAAUCCAAUCAAGGCCACAUAAAUCUAAUCACAUCCAAAAGCAUCCCAAAAUCUCGUUCAAAAUUCAUAUACCCACAUACAAAAACCAUUCAAAAAUUUAAUGCUAAAUUUAAACCCAAAUCUGUUGCGUAAUUGCAUUGUACACGUAAUUACUUUAUCUUGAUAACGCCCCCACAAGCAUUCUGCAAAAGGGGAAAUCAAAUACUUAAAACUAUUAUAGAAACUUGAAAGAGCAAGUCUUAGAUUGACUUGAAUUUGAACCAAGAGGCAACACAAACAAACGCGUUCAAGCAAAUGCAAAACCAACGAAACCCCAAUCAUCAAGUGGUCCAUUGAUAAAUAAAAUCCAAUUACAUCGACUGCGCUGCCAAAAUUUUAUUAAAGAAAACGGAUCCCGUGCUCAGCUGAGCUUGUGCUGAGCACCGGAUCAAUGGUCAAUAAUUAUUUAAGACCCACGUAAGAUAAUUGCUGAGCAUUGAUUCGGUACUCAACACAAGCUCAGUUGAGCACUGUUUAUAAAAAAAAAUAAAAGCGGCAUCAGCAUGUGCUUUGAUUGAAUGCCUUGAGAACACGUAAGCAUCACCCAAAUUAUUAUUUACACAUGCUUGCGUGAUCCAAUUGCAUGCCAGAAAAUACAAAGAAUGAAUCUUGGUGAAAAUUUCCUAUCCACUAAAGGGUGCGUUUGCAAAUCUCAAAAUCGGUGGGGGAAGUGCGGCGGUGUGGCGGGCUAUAGCCAGACAGAGCCAGAGAAUCUGAAGCAAAACACCAAAAAUCUUGCCCUGGAAAUGACUCAGCAAGAAUACUUCGGUAUUAUAUGCUAAAUUUUUUUAAAGAAUUUUCUUUUAGUAUUGUUUUGAGAAAAUAAAUAAAGGUAGUCAAUUUAAUAUGCUUAAGAAUUUUUAGUAUUUUAAAGACUGGACAAAGCAUAACUUACUUUUUAAAUUUAAUAGAUAAGUGUCUAGAAUAAUAGCGUAUUUAAAGUAAUUAUUAGAGUGCAAAUAGUCAUAUCCAAUACUUCAACUUAUAAUGGUUGGUUGUUGUUUUCACUGAAUUUUCAGAUUUGAAUUGAAUCAAUUACUAGUUGUGUGGUUGGAGCUCAAGAGAGAUGAAGAUAAAAAAAAAAAAGGAGUUCUUCUUUUAUCCCUUUUAAGUGAAUAUAUUUAGGUUGGGUUAAUGUGUACCAUAGUCCAUAGGGCACUUUCAUCUUUUCUGUCAUAUGACACCUCUUUACUCAAAUGUCAAAUGGGCUUGCUCAUCAAGCUUUGGUAUUCAUCAUUUGGAUCCUUGAUCACGUGACGCUUGUUGACUAGGCAGCCUUGUUGCCUUAAUUUCCUAUUGUUUUCUUGUUCUCAGGCUGGAAGACAUUAUUUUUUCUUGUUAUCUCUUAGCUUAUUCCAUAUUUGUCCUUCUAAGUGAGCUAAUUUUACCAAAACUAUCAUUUUCCUUGAUUGGCUCAUGUAGGACAGUUGAUGUGUUAUUUUUUCCACCAAUCAUCUUCUUAUUUAUUAUUCUUGUACCACAUGUCAGCUUUCAACUAGUCCAUAAAUAUCCUUCCAAAUUUACCUCCAAACAAAUCUAAUAACCUCUUGAAAACGAAAAAUUAAAAAUUUAUUCAAUCAUUCAAUGUUAAGGAAAUUGGCCAAGUAAUGGAAUGCUAACAAACCAAAUUAAAUUUCUACACUUGCUCUUUUUCUUUGGCCUAUACCAAAUUUCAUCACUUAAUUUUCCUUUAAUUAAAUAAAACAAAUACAUUAUAACUGCUUACUAUUUACAUCUGAAUAGAGCAAUAAAGACUGGUUAUUAAAGACCGGUUAUUAAACGGAUAUGGAUGAAAAUGGUGUUAAAACAUGGCAUAUGGUAGCAAUAAAAAAGGCGCUUGCAGGAUAUAUUCAAGCAAAUUGGUUUGAGUAACCACAAACAAAAAGGCCUCGCAAGUGAUAAGUUCCUCCUUUGCCCACUCAAAUGCAUUACAUAAUGUCGCAGUACAUUUUAUUUAUGCAAAUACGUAUAUAUAUGCAUAUCUUGAUAACUAUUUUAACAUGUGAUCUAAUAUAGAACAUAAUUUAAUAGAGUAUACUCCCUGAAUUUCGCUCUGAAUUUUUUUAUAAUUGAUUUGUUAUAAAUUUGAACGAGGGAUUGCAAUUAUACCUUCUUGAAGUUUAUAGAUGUUUUCAUGCAUGCUCCACGAAAAAUAUUUGAUGUCGUGCUAAUGCUCACUGCAAAGCAUAUACCGUAGGCUAUGCUAUAGCUAUAUAAAAACUUAUACUUGCUUUCUCGAAUGCACACACUUGCACACAAAAUUUUACCAGACGUGGUUUCAAUUUAUUGAACCAUUAGAGGGACACAUCAGUAGUCACCAAAAUGCCACUCUAAAUGGCAAUUCUCGUAAUCAUUUUGCUGUCGCUCUUCAUUCCAGUCCCAAGUACACAGCCCAAACUUCAAUUUUCUCUGGGAAGGUAAUGAAGCGUGGCUCAGUCUCAGUAAUAUGUCUUCCAUAUUCCAUGGAAUGAGCCAAAGGAGUAAUACUUCUAUAGUUAGAAGCAACUAGCAAUCAUAUUGAAGGAAUUUUCUGUAUCAGAUAAAGAAAGAGCAGCAGAGAACAAAGCUGUUAAUCAAUCAACACAUGUACAGCAGUAUUAGUAUUUCUGCCUUAUUGUAGUGCCUAAUUGGGUAUUAGGAUUUCUCCUCAAGAACGUUUACUAAGACAUUCAGCCAAGUAUGAAGUUCAUCAAUAAUCAAUCUUUUCGGUAAAUAAACGAAACAUAUUGAGUGCCAAACUUGCCCAGCCUUUGAAACAGAAUUUCAGAGCAAGCAACAGAACAAAGUCAGAAAAUACAUUCAACUGAACCCAACACCAGAAAGCAUAACAAAUAUUAUUUAUUUUUUGUACACAAUUAACGAACCGCCCCUGAAGCACAAAUCAAUGAACUCUCAACUGAAAAUCCGAAACGAAAGUUCUUAUUUAUGAGUACACAGCGGAAACAAAGACACCAAAAAAAAGUGCACCACCGUAGGAUCAGGAUUUGUAUGUGUAGACAGCAAAAGUGAAGACGGAAAGGAUUCUGGUUGAAAUUGAAGCUCGGGCUGCAGUCAUGAUGUUUUCUGCUCUGAUUUCACCUACACAAGUCAUUAAAGAAAUUAUGAAAAAUAAGAAUUUUAAAUUACAUUUUUUUUCCUUAACUAUUAAAACAAAUGAACGCUGAUGUCUGCUAGGCUCAUGGUUGAAUGUGGAAGAGUACUUAAGUCUCCACUGCUGCUAAAGAGGGCUUGAUGAUUGGGGUGAGUAUCGGAAACUCUAAAGGGUACUUAAUGUUUAGACAAAUUGGAAGAAAACACUUUGUAUAACCAUUUUUAUACUAAAGAGAAGGGGAACAAAAAGUAUAUGCAAUUGGAUAAGUAAUUAAAAUUUGAAGAAAUUGGGUAAAACGAGAAACAUACAUCAAACUCAAUAGGGGCUAAUCAAAUUCCGUAAGGAUAAAGCUGAACGCCAUACUGCUCCUUAUCCUUGAAUUCCCGUAGCUUUUGUCUUAGCUCUGGCUGAGGCCACCAGCAAUCGAACUUGUUUAAGCUCUUUAUGCCCCAGAGCUGUUCAGGCAUCUUUUUCAAGUAAGCACAAGGGUUGAUAAUCAAGCAUUCUAGUUUUGGCAUGGCUCCAAUCCCCAUAGUCCACUCCCCUAGCCAUAGCAUUGAUUUCAGGUGCAAUACCUUGAGAUUUGGAAAACCAUCAGAGCCACAAGUCAGCUUCCUACCUGAAUACGAAUUUUGCUUCAGUUUGAGCACUUGAAGAAGCGGCAGCUUUUCUAGUGUCGGCAUGGGAUCAUCCAUUAGGUCAGUAUUAGAAAAACUCAAGUGGGUUAGACUAUGAGGAAAUAGGUAUUCAGCAAGGACGAUUUUGGAGAGCCGUGGCAUCUUGCUUUCAUUCGCCAGCUUCAAUGACUUGAGAAAGCUCAAUCUGCAGAGACUUUUGGAAAACAAAGAUUGAUUAUAACUUAAAUCUCCCCGUAUUCGGAGAUUUUGAAGAUUAGGUAGCCUGCCCAAUAUAUCUUCAGUACAGCAGCAAGGAUGCAAGGCCGAAAUGAAAUUUAGAUUUUCCAGAGAGCCACAAUAUUUUCCUGGAUGCGCAGGAAGUGUGAUUGACCCAAAAUUUAGAUGCCUGAGUUUGUUCAUCUUCCAAAAUUCAUCUGCUGUAUGAUCUAUGUAGCUAAAGGGCAUGUCUAGGGUGUAGAGGUUUAGAAGAUUGCUUAAUAAUGAGGAAGGCAGGCUUUUGAGGGAAGGGAUAUUCAACUUCAAAUAUCUCAAAAGAAAUAAAUUUUCAAUUUCGGAUGGAUAUUGGUUGAGAACAAGAGAUCCCAAGUCCAAUAUUCUGAGAAGUUUGAACAUUCCACAAAUUUUCUCCCAAUCUAUGGGGUCAAAGUGGCAGCUUUCUGGAGAGCAGCACAAUAAAGAAUGCAGUUGCGAGUCAUAAUCAUCUAAGCAAUCAAAAUCACCCUCUCUUUCAACAGCGUUUAACCGUUUGGCUCUUUUUCCUGAUUCACUAUCGAUGGAAGGGGAAAAGAUGAAUUCCACCUCAGAAGAAACUGUGAACAACACGGGACGCCAACGACCAGGAAUAGAGCAUGUGUUGAUAGUGCCUCCGGCUUUUCUCUUCUUUGCUUCAACAAAGCCUUCCUUGAUAAGUUGUUCCAAGUAACUCUCAGCAGUUGCCUCACUAUUGUCUGGAAUGAAACCUUCAGCUAUCCACAACUGAUAUAACUGCCUGGUGGAUAUCUCUAGGUGUACGGGAAACACAGAUAAGUAGAUAAAACAAGGUUUCAAGCAAAACGGUAACAUGCAACAUUUGAAGUACCGAAGCACAAGGGGUAUCUCCACUGCUUCCCCUAUAUUUUCUUCUAAUGAGAUGCUUCCAUGAUAUAAGAUGAGGAAAGGCCAUCCUUGGUAUGUAGCUCUCAAUGGUCCUCCAGUGGGCACUAAAUCAAGCCGAAUGUUCUCUCCGUCUUCGAGCUGAAAUGAGGUGACCAUCUUAAUUUCAGUGAGUGUUAUUAAUACUCUACUUCUAUUCUGAUUAUCCGGGAGUAUUUCUCGAAUAAUAGCCCAUACUUCAAUGUUCCACACAUCAUCAAUCACAAUCAAAUACUGCUUGGUCAUUAGAUAUUCAUGAAGAAUAAUUUUUUUCAUUUCAUAAUUUUUAUCCUUCAUUUCACUCAACCUAGAUGAAGGCAUCAGAAACUUAAUAAUGAUAUCUAAUAUUUGGUCAGCAUCAUAUUCAUUGCUGUAAGGUUCUGUAAUCCAAGCGUGACAAUCAAAAUAAUGCUUCACAUAACUGCUGUUGUAAGCCUCUCCGGCGAAAGCCGUCUUGUCCAACCCAAUGCUAUCAAGUAUGGCCACCACUGAAAGCUGAGGUGGUCCCUCAAUCAAUAGAUCUAACAACUCCUCCAUUCUAUCAUCUAGACCCACCGUGUCCCUACUUUUAGAAGAUGAAGAUAUACCUGCUUCAGCUUUAAAAGUUUUGAUGCGAUCAAUGAUUUCGGAAUCCAUGUGCUUAAGUUGUUGCAUUCGUUGCUUAAUAUCAGUGAUUCUGCUUUGGAGUCCUUGCAGAGCAUCAAAAAUGUCCUUGCUGCCGCUGCUUUGACUCUUCUGUUGAGUGAUGCUGUUGAUGAAUGUGUCAAUGACCCUCUCAGAUUCAUACGUAAAGCAAUUGAUUUCAUCCAUAACGGUCGCCAGAUCUGGGUUUUCAAUUUCAUCUUCUCCGAUCUUUUCCAACAUAAGCAAGGAAGUUUCAUCUUCAAAUUCACUCAGCCAAGAAGUAACGAUUUCAACCUCCGCAUGAAGGUUGUGAAUAGGUAGUUUUGCAGCAUCAGGCAACGUGACUUCUUCACCAGCUAACACCCUUCUCAGCCUCUCUGAAAAUAGUCUGAAGUUGAUGUCCAUAUCUCCUCCUCUCUCAGAUUCACCCCGAAAUCAGUCCUAUAAAAGGACAUCGUCAAGAAGUUGAAUAUGCUUUAAAGCUCGCAAUUCAAACAUUAGUGCUGGCUCCCAUACCUCCCUUCUCUUAGCUAGUUCUCCAGUCAAGAAGUUGAAUCAAGAUCGUUGACUCUCAAAUUAGAACAGAUCAAGGCAGAAUCUUACAAUAAUCUCGUCUCCCAUAUGAUGAAAAAAGAAUAAAGCAGAGAAAAAUAAACAGGACAUCGUCAAGUAUCGAUCAAGACCAAUUUGUUUUAUACAUCCACUUUUAAGAAAGGAAGGGUAAAAACAAUUCCACUGGGACUAUAAAAGCUUGUCUGAAAAGAAAAGAACGGAGCAAGCACAAGAGCGUUAUCAAUUAUUUAAUAAUUAAGCUGUGGAAAAAUGCCAAAUCAUGUCUGGUGUUAAAUGUUAAAUUUAUUGCGAGACUUGCAUGUAUCUUGCAUGUAUCUAUAUCACAAAUAAAAUUUGUAUCCCAGGGUUAUAAAUGUAAAAUUACUCAAAUAAAUAUGCAUUCUUAAUCAUGUGUGAUGCUGUCUUAUUUCUUCAACCAGAUUUAGAGAAAGUACUAAAUCGUUUGUAAAAUUUUAUAGUUAAUAUAUGUUCAAUUUUCUUUUUAGCAUUCUUUUUUAAGAGAUGAAAAAUGAUAAAGAGUUCUAACAACGGGUGACAAAAAUAAUAGUAAAUUGUGUACUGUUACAAUGUUAAUUGAAAAAUAGUUAUAAUUUUUUAUUUAACAUUAUAAAUAAAAUCUAUAGUUGUUUUCUCACUACUGUAUCAUUUUUUGAUUCAAAUAUCAGUAUUAUAUGAACUCUUUGAAAGGAUUACAUCAUAUGACACUAUUUAUAAUUAUUUUCAUUUGAGCCCUUAGUGUUAAAAAUAUAACAAUCCAUCAAUGAAAUCAAUGAUAAUGGAAUUCUAAGUAGGAAUGGCAGAAAAAUCAAGUCUAGCUAGAGCUAGUUUUCUAAGUAUUCUGGCUGGUCUUGGGCUCCGGCUAAAAAGUCCGAACCCAGCUCGAAAGCCAAAAAAAUACUGAAAAUUUUAAAAAUUGUAUAAUUCCAAGCCUUAAAGACUUCUCCAAAUGUAUGGUACAACAUUGCAUAAUAGGACCAAUCACAUGGAGAUGAUUUGUACAUUAUUGUACACAAUUUUAGUAUGCAUAUCAGAAGAGAGGCAGCAAUCUUAGUUGAUACUUUUAUUUGACAUAUGAUGUAAGAAACGGAACAAAGAUUGUAACGUUACAAAUUUUGCUAUUCAGCAUCCAAAAUAUCACUAGAACUUGCAAUACAAGCUUUAAUCUCUUCAACAACCCGUCGAAUUGCGGCCAGGAACACAAACGCAGAGAUGGGUAUCAAGAUCGCAUUCGAAAUCGACUGACAGGGAUUGUCACAGUUGGCAUUGCUUUUACAAGUGACUGCUUUUGAUUCCGGUUGAGCAUCAACUGCCGGCAUGGAAAUAUCAAACAACACACCUGCAUAUAUAAAUGGCAAUCAAUUAAUUAGCCUAAUGCUAAUAACACGCCUGCAUAUAUAAAUGCCAGCCAAUUAGUUGUCAUAUUAUAGUUAAUUAUGCAUGCAUUAAAAAGAUGAGGAAAAUAAGAUUAAGGAACAAACAUGAGGCUACCAAGAGAGUGAUGAAAAAUGCGGAUUUAAGUUUAAGUUACAUAAUGUUUAUGUAAGCAAAAGUGCAAAACUGAGAGUCUGAGGAUAAUGAUAUUAUUAAAUUUAAUAUGGGUUUGGUUUGUAUAGAUUCAUGAGUUUCUCUAGACAUUAUAUAGGGGGGGGGGGGGGGGGGGGGGGGGAAUUUAAUCCACUUGACAACUAAAAAAUUCAGAAAUCAAACCUCGAUUUGACAAAUUAGAAAUUUAAAAAUUAAAUUUUUUUCCAUAUGCAGGCUCUCGUUUUUCUCUCUAUCACAACGGUAUAAUUGGAAUUAUUGUUAUGACAAUUUGAUUCUCUUUUCUUACAUGUUGCAGGAGUCAUGUCCUCCCGUUGAGGUGACAAAAUGACUAUGGAUUGUGCCCGAGUGGAGUACACCACCAGUAUGAUUAUCUCACUCCCUUUCGAGGUUUUGUUGCAGUAAUUUCUCAUCUUUUAUAGGGUACCCUGCUCUUCAUUGCUUCUGUAAAAGUCUUAUGAGCUAAUUGCUUCCGAAUCUUUAAAUUUCUUCAAUGAGGAACCUUUGUUUGGAAAAUCGAUUUUCAUCUGAUCCGAGAAGGUUGCUUUGAAGCAGAGAGCUUAUGAAAUGCAGCAUGCAAAAUCAUGACUACAAUGCAGUAGACUAAUUGUUAGCUCACUCUAAGCAAAGGCAACGUUCAUAAAAGAUGAAGAAGAGUUUCUAAUAUUUACCAACAUAACUGAUAGCAAGUGCACAGAAUAGAGCUAUCUGAACAUUCAGAAGCAUAAGAACAACCAAUGUAGCUGCAAAGAUGAGAUGUAAUUACUACUGUGAAGUCGACGAAAGAAUUCCACUAUUUAUCAACAGCUAGACUGUAGUAUAAUGGAAAGACCUGCCAAGGAAAGUUUAAAGCAAAACUUAUCCAGAGAAGGCAAGAACAUAAGUAUAGAAGCAGAAGUGCACACAUUCAUAUUUAGGGGUAACGAGAAAUGUAUCAUAAAUCACUUGCUCUAGCACAGUACUAUUUCAUGCUAAUUUUCUUGCUCGUUCUAUGGUUAGGACCCUUUGAGCGGAAAGAAAUCAAAUCACAAUGCUUAUUCUAGCUAGAAACUCCUGAAGUCCAUGCUUGAACCCUGUGUCGAUUGGUCAUAGACUCCAUAUUCUCCUCUCCCAAAAGUAUGACAUUUUUUUCUUCCACUGAUUAAUGGAACUUAAAACUGUUUUGCCACAAUCUUAGUCAUACAAACCCUUUCUCUUUACAUUUCUUAAGGUCAUCAGACCCAAGCCAGAACAUGUUUACUUCCUAGGAGAAAUCUUAAAUAUCUUAAUCAAUACGGAACUGUGUAGUUCAGACAGCAUUCCCUUGGCCAACUAGACGUAAAGAUUUGCAAUGUCCUAGUAAGUCUAUGAGUGGAACUAACAGUGCCCUUCCAAUACGGAAAAACAAUCAUCAAAAACAAUUUUUUUACCCCAUCAACCACAUACAGUAUAAGACUGUAGCAGGUUAUCUCAAUAUCGGCUGCCAUUUUGAUUCAAAGAAGAAAUAUUUGAGAACUCACCACAUUGUGCAAUGCGAACCAGAACCUGCCUAAUCACAGGAUGCCAAUCCCAGUUCCAUUUGUCACUACAGAACUUGAAAAAAUCCCAAAGUGCCAAACUUGAUAUCAACCCAACAAGAGCAAGUGGCAUCUGGUAUCUAUAAGAUGGAGACAGAGACAAUGUCACUAGACAGAUGAUACACAGAAAAAAAAAAAAAUGUAAUACAACUAACACACACAAUACUAUGAUUAAAAAAAUAUCUCCAUCAGUUAAAAACUAAACAAUGGAAAGGCGAGACUCUAUGAACUAAUGCCCUGAACCAGCACAAAUACCAAUUCUCCUGGAGUAUUUUAAGUAUUCAUAUAGUUGUUUCAAAGCACAGGAAAAAAAACAAACAACGCAAAAUUGCAAACUCAUAGUGUUGUUAUUUAUCAAUUGGAACCCAGAAAAAAAUAGCUGUAAUUUAAUUAUUCAUUUAAGCAGAUUGAAACCCUUACAAACACAGGUAAGCAAAUCAAAAUUAUCAUUAAAAAUCCAAUCAAGGCCACAUAAAUCUAAUCACAUCCAAAAGCAUCCCAAAAUCUCGUUCAAUAUUCAUACAACCACAUACAAAAACCAUUCAAAAAUUUAAUUUUUUUUAACUCAAAAUAAUAACUCAGAAAAGGAAACAAAAUUCUUACAGAGAGCAAGCAAAGAAGAGGAUGAACAAAGAAGCAUAAUUCCUGGCAUAACGUUUAACAUUCUCAUGAACUCUCAACUUAAGGGUGUGUGGGGAAGAUGGAAACGAGAAAGACCCAAGAGCCCCAAUAAACUCACGGGUCCAAGACGGGGUGUUGGCUGAGAAAUCAUCAGUGGUGAGUUUAGCAAAAGGGUUGGCGGUAAGAAGAGAGAUAAAGGUGUAUAAAUAAUGUAAAAGGCUGUGAGUUAAGGUCGUGGCUGUGGCUGUUUCUUUGGUGGAGGCUGUUGUGACGGCGGUGGCCGACGUGGUGGUGGCGGUGUCGAGGAUUUCGAGGUAGCCGGACUCGCGUAGCCAUGACUCGAAUGCUGGGUCGGGUACGUUUAGAGAUAACGGGUUGGAUGCGAAUACCUUCCCCAUUACAAAAAGCUAUCCAAUUUCGGUUGAAUGAGGGUCACUAAAUUAUCAAAAUAUUAAUAACUAAUUUUUAACAAAAUUCAUAUGAUAUGAUAUGAUGAUAUAGGCCUUGGUUAGUGGUUUUCUAAACAAUUUAUUAUUAUUAUUAUUCUCUUAAUCACUCCAAGUUUAAAUUUGGAAGAUGUAGGGGAUAGAAAUAAAUUAUAUUAGGAUUUGUCGAUUUGUCAAUAAAAACUUCAGUAUUAUAUGCUUAAUUUUUUUAAAGAAUUUUCUUUGAGUAUUGUUUUGAGUAAAUAAUUGUAAUUAAUUUAACAUGCUUAAGGACUUUUAGUAUUUUAAAGACCAUACAAAGUAUAACUUAAUUUUUUAAGUUUAAUAGAUGAGUGUGUAGAACAAUAAAGUAUUUAAAGUAAUUAUUAGAGGAUAAAUAGGCAUAUCCAAUACUCUUUUUUUUUUUUGAAAACAAAGUAAACCUUUCAUAAAUCACAACACCUCAAAUACAACUUGAAUCUUGGCUGGAAUAGUUCCUAGCCACAUAGAAGAAGAAUUUCUUCCCAAAGCUAACUUAGCUAGGGAGUUGGCAUAAGCAUUACAUUGUCUUAGAAUGUGAUGAACAAUAACUUUUUGAAAACCUUUCAACUGAUUUCGGAUCUCCAGAAUUGUCCAAAAAAAUUCUGUUUUGCUGCCCUUGGUAUUGUUUACAAGUUGAACCACCUCUAAGCAAUCUGACUUAAUGAUCAAGGAGGUUAAAUCUGCUUCUUUUGCCAACUGAAGCCCCCAUUGCACAGUCUCUGCCUCAACCAAACUGACUGGUCCCUUAAGAUGAAUCUGAUUAAUACCGGCUGCAAUUAUCUUUCCAUUAGAAUCUCUAAUCACUGCUCCCACGCCUGCAAUCUGAUUCUUAGUAUUAAUGGCAACAUCCACAUUAAUUUUGAAAAUAUUUUCAGGGGGAGGGAACCACUUUUGUUGUUUCUCUCCUCUGGGGUGGGCAAUAUGAGAAGGCUUUUUCUUUCUUACUCUUUGAAAAGCUGAGCCUUUACAACAUGAGCAGGGAGGGGACUCCACUUUUGAUGCAUCAUAGAUAGUUUCUUCUCUGCAAAAACUUUGCCCAAAUUUCUUAAGUUUCUUAAAGGCAUCCAUCAGAUCUGCCUUUGCAACACUUUCCACAAAGUAGAAACUUUUCUUCUCAAAAUUCUGCAUCAUAAAAUACAAAACCAAGCAAAAUCAAAUGAACCCCAGAUUUGUAAAUCUGGGUAGACAAACAAUAAUAAACCACCACAAAUCUCUAGAUCUGAGUGGAAGAACAUACCACCACAAAUUUGAAAAUAUGAGUGGAAGAACAAAACCACCACAGAUAUGAGGAUCUGAGUGGAGAAAAUAAGUAAAGAAAAUAAAAAAGGAAUGAAAAAAGAAGGUUUCGCCGGAAAACGAACUCAUAGAGCUGAUUUUCCGACGAAAGAAGAAGGUGAAAUGUUAUUGGAUGUUCAGAGCCUUUUUUUUCUGGAAAGGCAUAUCCAAUACUUUAACUUAUGGUUGGUUGUUUUUUUCACAUAAUUUUCUGAUUUGAAUUGAAUCAAUUACAAGUUGUGACUCGAGCUCAAGAGAGUUGAAGAGAAAGAAAAAGAAAAAUGGAGUCCUUCUCUUGUCCCUUUUAAGUGAAUAUAUUUAGGUUGGGUACCGCAGGGUAGUUGAUGAGCAUAAUUUAUAUACAUAUUUUACCCUUAAUUAUAUAAUUACUAGCUAUUUUCAUUGGUCAUUUUUAAUUAAUUGAAUUAUUUUAUUGAAUAGGGAAUUAAUUGGGGAUUAUGGAUGAAAAGUGGAUAAAGAAUAACAAUUGGACAACAUUAAAAAUCAAGUCAAUUUGUGGAAGCAGUUAAGCAAAUGUGUAUGAAAUUCAAUCCGAAGAAGCCGAAGCCAAUAAAUUGAAUUCUCCAUGCUAGUGCAAACAAAGAAUAAAUUUAAAGCUAAAGUGGCCUGCACGUGAGAAGCAAUUGCAUGGCAUUAAAAAAAGAAUGAAAAAUCCAAGUGGGCUUCACGUGCAUGGGCUCAAAGUCAGUUGUGCUUUGCUUGUUUUAAAACCUUUUGAUUUGAGCAAAGUAAACACUGAUGCAGCCAUUUGCUUUGAAAAGAACAUUGUAGGGCUGGGGGCAGUAAUCAAAAAUGUUUUGGGGCAUGUUACAGCAGCUGCUAUCAAGGUUGCUAAGUUUCGUGGAGAUGUUUCUUAUGCAGAAGCAGAAGCCAUGGAAUGGGGUAUGUUAGUGGCGCGAGAGGCCAACAUGAAAGCUGUCAUUAUGGAAUCAGAUUCUCAAGGUGUGGUCAAUUUAGUUAACAACAAGCAGGGCAGCAGAUCAGAGAUCUAUUGGGUUGUGUCAGAAAUUCAGAAACUAGCGGAAAGCUUCGAACGUGUUAGCUUUAAAUACACGACUAGAUCUUGAAAUGUUAUUGCCCACUCUUUAGCUAAACUAGCUUUAGAGAAGUGCGAGAAUGUUGUGUGGAAAGGGUCAUACCCUUCACAAGUGAUGUAUCUCUUUUCCACUUUAGUUUAAUGGAAAUCUCUUUUCAAAAAAAAAAAAAAAAAAAAAAAAAACCUUUUAAUUUGAGGAUUUUGGAGGGUGUUACAAUAUAAAAGUCGUGUUAACAUAAAUAUGUUAAUAAUAUUGAUUUUGAUGCUAACAAAUUUUAAAUGAUUUUUUGAUAAAAGUAUUGGAGCUAUUUCUUAAUAAACGAGAGCCUUAGUAAUCAUUCCAUUCAUGCUUCAUAAAAGAUGGACUUUAAAAUUAGAAAAAGAUUCUCUGCAAAAACUAGUUUAAAAUGCAAUUCUGGUUAUAAACGGUUCACCGUUUAUUUAAACGGUUAACCGAUAACAGCCAGAGAGCAACGUAUUUCCUAAACCUCUAACCGUUUAUGAAAAACGGAAAACACAAAAGAUGGGAAGGUUACUGGAACUUAACGGUGAACCGUUUAUUUUAAACGGUUAACCGAUUAGAACCAGAGAGCAACAUAUUACCUAAGCUCUAACCGUUUAUGCUUAACAGAAAACACCCAAGAUGGGAAGGCUACUGGAACCUAACGGUGAACCGUUUAUUUUAAACGGUUAACCGAUAACGUCCAAAAUUGAAGGUUGUCCUCCUCUGGCACUGAUUAACGAAAACUGAUAAGGCUAAAUUUGUUUUGCAGGUUACUGGAGACAAACGGCGAACCGUUUAUAUCAAACGGUUAACCAAUAAUUUCCAGAGAAGCCACUUCACGCAAGUCCUUAACCGUUUAGCGUAAACGGAUAACAAAUACUCAUUUUGCAGGUCUCUGGAAGUUAACGGCGAAAGGGCAACCCUAAACGGCAAACCGUUUAUUUGAAAUCUGGCCCAACGGUAACUUUGACCAGCCUAAACGGUUAACCGUUUAUGGUUAACGGCGAACCGUUUUCUGUCCGACAGUUUGUAACGGCUAGAUUUUCGGCUCCAAAUAUAAAUAAGCUCAUUCAAAUUCAAAGAUGAUUGAUCACAACACGACCAUUUGAGCUAAUAUUCGAGAAUACAAUCUUCAUAGAGCUUAGAACAUAUUCUUGCUUCAUCUAUUCACAUAUUAAGCAUCAUUGUGUAAUCUUAUAUAUUGUGAGAGGCAAAACAAUUUAUAAUCUUUUAUUUUGAGUGAUUGUAAGUGUUGGGAUACACUUGGGUUAAGAGAUUGGGGAUAAUCUCUUGUUGUAAAGGUUCAUUGACACCUUGGAAGUCAAGUGUAAGCAUUUGAAGCCUUGGAGGCUUGCUUAGUGGAAUCCUCAAGCCCGGAAAGCUUGGAGGCGUGGACGUAGGCGAGGUUGGCCGAACCACGUAAAAAUCUCGGUGUUUGAAUCCCUCUUCCCUUAUCUUUUUAUAUUGUGAUUCUCUUAAUUGUUAUUGCUUUGAAUUUGAUUUAUAAUUGCAUUAAGAUUUUCUUUAAUAAAUUGAAUAAUUUUUUAGAAUCCCAAUUCACCCCCCCUCUUGGGUUGCAUACUUGUAUUUCAAUUGGUAUCAGAGCCUCGUUCUCUUGUUAAGACUUAAUCGUCUAGAGUAAAAGAUCCAUGGCAACCCUAAAUGACUCAACCUUUAGAGAAGGGCAAUCCACAACUAGACCACCAUUUUUCGAUGGUAAUGACUAUGCUUAUUGGAAAACUAGAAUGAGAAUUUAUUUGCAAGCCUUAGAUUAUGAAAUUUGGGAAGUUGUUUGUGAUGGUCCAUUCAUGCCUACGUUCAAAGAUGAAGUAGGAGAUGAUAUUCCUAAACCAUCGAGUCAAUGGAGUGAGUUAGAAAAGAGAAAGAUGUCUCUAAACUCCAAGGCUAUGAAUGCUUUGUUUUGUGCCCUUGAUAAGAAAGAAUUCCAUAGAGUAUCUAGUUGUGAAAGUGCACAAGAGAUAUGGAACAAACUUGAAGUUGUCUAUGAAGGGACAAAUCAAGUGAAAGAGUCUAAAAUCAGUAGAUACACUCGUCAAUAUGAGUUGUUCCAAAUGGAACAAAAUAAAAAUGUGUAUUCUAUGUAUACUAGAUUCACGGACAUAGUGAACACCCUAGGUGCCUUAGGGAAAACCUUCUCAAAUAGUGAGAAAGUUAAGAAAAUCAUUAGGUCUCUUCCAAAAGAAUGGAGACCCAAAAGAACCGCUAUUGAAGAGGCCAAAGAUUUAAAUACUUUACCUCUUGAUGAUUUAAUUGGUUCUCUUAUUUCGUAUGAAGAGGAUUUAGCUGCAGAAAGAGGACAUGAGGAGAAGAAGAAAAGCAUUGCUCUCAAAGCUUCAAAAUAUGAGAGUGAUGAGGAGAGUGAACCGGAUGAUGAAGAACUAGCCAUGCUAGCAAGGAGGUUCAGAAAAUUCUUCAAGAAAACCGGAGAGCGAAGAAAUUUCAGAAACUUCAAGAACUAUAGGGAGAAGAAGGAGGCAAUCACUUGCUAUGAAUGCAAGAAGCCUGGACAUAUAAGAUCGGAGUGCCCACUUAUCAACAAACUCAAGAAGAAAGCAAUGGUUGCAACUUAGGAUGAUAGUGAGGAAGAAUCAAAUGAUGAAGAAGGAUCGCAAGAAGUAUCAAACCUAGCACUCAUGGCAAUAGGAGGAGAUGAUGAUCUCAAUGAGGUAAGUGAUCCUACCUAUGAUGAAUUAUAUGAUGCUUGUCAAGAUUUGCAUAAUGAGUUAAUGAAAAUUGGUAAAAAGAAUGUAUGUCUUAAAAAGAAAAUGGCAAAACUUAAAAAUGAAAAUGAAUCUCUAAAUGCAAGAAUUGUAUGCCUAGAAGUAGGAAACAAAACAUUGCAUGAUGAAAUUGCAUUAUCAAAUGAGAAACCUAGCAUCUUACAUGAGCAUUUGAAAUCACACAUAGAUGAGUUGAAAAAUGAGAACGAAUUGCUCAAGAAAAAGAAUAAUGAAUUAAAUGAAAUUGUUUUGAAAUUUACAAAUGGGCAAAAGAUGUUGGAUAAUAUGCUUAACUCACAAAAAUGUGUUUUUGAUAAAGGAGGACUUGGAUAUAAGCCAAAUUUGAAGCAAAAGUAUUAUAAGAAUUAUUUUGUUAAAGCUACCUCCCCAAAUGAUCAUAAGAUUGUAUGUCAUUAUUGUAAUCAAAAUGGUCACAUGAAAUUUAAAUGUCCCGUGAAAAGGAAUGCAUAUUAUGGUGUCAAGUGCAUUUGGGUUCCAAAAGGAACCGUUGCUAACUCUCAAGGACCCAAAAAGCUUUGGGUACCUAAAACUUGAGACUUUUUCUUGUAGGGCUUGAAGAAGAAGAAGAAUAAAUGGUACUUGGACAACGGUUGUUCAAGGCACAUGACCGGAAACUAUGCAUGGUUCUCAAACUUUUCCAAAAUUGAAAAUGGUGGAGACGUAUCCUUUGGAGACAACUCAAAAGGAAAAAUUCUUGGAAUUGGAAAUGUUGGUAAAGUUUCUUCAACUCUAAUUGAGAAUGUAUGUUUGGUUGAAAACUUGAAACACAACUUAAUUAGCAUUAGUCAAUUAUGUGACAAAGGUUAUAAAGUUAUCUUUGAUAAAUUUAGUUGUGUUAUUGAGAACUCAUGUGAUGGCAAAACCUUAUUUGUUGGAAAUAGAUGUGGUAAUGUUUAUAUCAUUGACAUAAAAUGUGCAUCUACUCUUGAUAAAUGUUUUUCGGCAUUGCAUGAUGAUUGUUGGUUGUGGCAUAGAAGGUUAGGAGAUGCAAGUAUGGAUUUGAUUUCAAAAAUUUCGAAAGAUGAUUUAGUUAAAGGUCUUCCGAAAAUUGGUUUUCAAAAGGAUAAGAUUUGUGAAGCUUGUCAAUUUGGAAAACAAAUUAAAACUUCUUUCAAGAAUAAAAACCAUAUUUCUACUUCAAAACCACUUGAACUUCUUCACAUAGAUCUUUUUGGGUCAUCUAGAUAUGCAAGUCUAAAUGGCAAAUAUUAUGCUUUUGUGAUAGUGGAUGAUUAUUCUAGAUAUACAUGGGUAUUAUUCUUAGCCAAUAAGGAUGAUGCUCUUGAUGCAUUUAAAGUGCUUUGUAAGAAAUUACAAAAUGAAAAAGGGCAUGGUAUUGUAUGCAUUAGGAGUGAUCAUGGAGGAGAAUUUGAAAAUCAUGCAUUUGAGAGUUUUUGCAAUAAUCUAGGCAUUGAGCAUCAAUUUUCUUCACCUAGAACUCCACAACAAAAUGGAGUUGUUGAGAGAAAGAAUAGGUCUAUUCAAGAAAUGGCUAGGACCAUGUUAAAUGAAAAUGCAUUACCAAAAUAUUUUUGGGCCGAAGCCGUCAACACCGCUUGUUAUGUUUUAAAUCGGGUGUUGAUUAGACCUAAUCUUAAUAAAACUCCAUAUGAGCUUUGGAAAGAUAGAAAACCCAACAUUGGCUAUUUUAAAGUUUUUGGAUGCAAAUGUUUUGUUCUGAACACAAAAGACAAUCUUGGUAAAUUUGAUUCAAAAUUCGAUGUUGGUAUUUUUCUUGGUUAUUCAAAUUCAAGCAAAGCUUAUAGAGUUUAUAACACAAGAACUUUAGUUGUGGAAGAAUCUAUGCAUGUCACAUUUGAUGAGUCUAACCCCUCCUCUACGAAGAAAGUCGUUGUUGAUGAUGAUGUAGGAGAAGAAGAACAAGAAGAAGAAGCAUCAAAUGACAAUCAAGAGGAUGCACUACAUGGAAUUCAAGAGGAACAUCAUGAAGAAUCAAUGUGGAGCAAAAUGAAGGUACUUCUCAUACACUCCCCAAGGAGUGGAGGUAUGUCUCUUCUCACCCUAAAGAUGUAAUUUUAGGAGAUCCCUCAUGAGGUAUAACAACUAGAUCAUCACUUAGAAAUACUUGUGAGCAUAAUGCAUUCAUCUCUCAAAUUGAACCAAAAUCCUUUGAGGAUGCAGAAAAUGAUGAAUUUUGGAUUAUGGCAAUGCAAGAGGAGUUAAAUCAAUUUGAAAGAAACAAUGUGUGGGAACUAGUUCCUAAACCUGAACAUCAAUCUAUAAUAGGUACUAAAUGGGUGUUUAGAAAUAAGAUGGAUGAAUCCGGUGUGGUUGUAAGAAACAAAGCUAGAUUAGUGGCUCAAGGUUACAACCAAGAGGAAGGAAUUGAUUUUGAUGAAACCUUUGCACCUGUAGCAAGGUUAGAAUCCAUUAGGAUGUUGUUAGCAUAUGCAUGUCAUAAGGAUUUUAUUUUAUAUCAAAUGGAUGUCAAGAGUGCUUUCUUGAAUGGAUAUAUUUUGGAGGAAGUUUAUGUGAAACAACCUCCUGGUUUUGAAAAUGAAAAAUUUCCAAAUCAUGUGUAUAAGUUGCUCAAAGCCUUGUAUGGAUUAAAACAAGCACCUAGAGCAUGGUAUGAUAGACUUAAAAAUUUCUUGCUAGAAAAUGACUUCUCUAUGGGUAAAGCGGAUACUACUCUUUUUGUUAAGCAUAAGAACCAAGACAUACUUAUUGUUCAAAUUUAUGUUGAUGAUAUCAUUUUUGGUUCUACUAAUGAGUUGUUGUGUAAAGAAUUUUCAUUGUGUAUGAGCAAAGAAUUUGAGAUGAGUAUGAUGGGAGAGUUGAAAUACUUCCUUGGACUUCAAAUCAAACAAAGCGGGGAAGGAAUUUUCAUAAAUCAAGCCAAGUACGUAAAGGAUCUACUCAAACGAUUCGGCAUUGAUGAUUCAAAGACCAAGAAUACACCAAUGAGCACAACAACCAAGCUGGACAAAGAUGAAAAAGGUAAAGAAGUGGAUAUCAAAAUGUAUCGAGGUAUGAUCGGAUCCCUACUCUAUUUGACUGCAAGUAGACCCGAUAUCAUGUUUAGUGUAUGUUUGUGUGCAAGAUUUCAGUCUUGUCCCAAGGAAUCUCAUUUGCUCGCUGUUAAAAGAAUUUUCCGUUAUUUGAGUGGAACCAUAGAUAUUGGCCUUUGGUAUCCUAGGGGAACUCAUAUAGAUUUAACAUGUUUUUCGGAUGCGGAUUUUGCUAGUUAUAAAGUGGAUAGGAAGAGCACUAGUGGAACUUGCUAUAUUCUAAGACACUCUCUUGUUUCAUGGUUUAGCAAGAAACAAAAUUCUGUUGCACUUUCAACUACUGAGGCUGAAUAUAUAGCUGCCGGAAGUUGUUGUGCACAAGCACUUUGGAUGAAACAAACACUUAGAGAUUAUGGCAUUAAUCUUGAACAAAUUCCUAUUAAGUGUGAUAAUACUAGUGCUAUAAACCUUUCAAAGAAUCCCAUUCAACAUUCUCGAACCAAGCAUAUAGAAAUAAGACAUCAUUUCUUGAGAGAUCAUGUUCAAAAGGGAGAUAUUGCAUUAGAGUUUAUUUCCACGGAAAAACAACUUGCCGAUAUUUUCACAAAACCGCUUUGCGAAGAACAAUUUUCAAAAAUUCGGCAUGAACUUGGGAUGAUGAAAUUUUUGCAUUAACAUCUCUAUUCAUGCUAUUGAGUGUACUGAAUUGAUUGAUUACUAUUUAUGAAAUGCUUGAGCUUGGUAGACAAAUGAUGAAUUUGCAUUAAUAACUCUUGAUUAUAUGAAUUGAUUGGUUGAAAACAUGUCCAUGAAUCAUGCAUUAAACUGGCUCAUAAAAUAUUUUCAGAUCAAUUAAAUGAUCUUGGAAUAUAUUAUUUGCUGGCCAAAAAUUAAAUCAAAUGUGCGAAAUUACAGAUUGAAUAAACGGUUAGCCGUUUCCUAUAAACGGAUCACCGUUUAAUUCCAGAAACGAGAUUAUGUGUCUGCCCGUUUACCCUUUCACCGUUUUCCACAAUCGGUGAACCGUUUUUCAACAGAGAGUCCUCUAACAGUUACUCCUUAGUCGUUAAGCGCUUAGGCUUUCACCGUUUCCCUUUCUUCAGCCUCUGGACGUUACCCUUUCACCGUUUCAAUAAACGGUUAACCGUUUUCGCGAAGUAUAUAAACUGUUUAAAGGUUUUCUUCUCCUUCUCCAGUUACCCUCUCACCGUUUCCUCCAUUGUUGCGCAGCCGAAGGUCUCUUUGUCCUCAAAUCCUCAUUUUUCUUGAUUUCCGUGCCAAAUCAAAUCCUCAAAAUCAUUUCUUAUCACCUUUAGAACAUUUCUACCGAUUCAAAACUUCAAAUCGAACCCAAAAUUCAAAAAUCCCAAAUCUAAACCCUAACUGUCGCGAGUCGGGUUUCUCUGUCCUUAAUCUGAUUUCCACCUUUCUUCAACCAAAUUAAACAUCCUACUCACAUCUUCUACUCCUCAUUACGUGUUUCCAUGGCUGAACCUCCUCGGAGAAAUCUCAGACGUAAAUCUGUGCCUCCAAGGAAUCCCAUACCACCUCGGGACGUCUCGGAAUUUGCAAGGAUUCACUUCCCCACUCCUUCCUUGGCCAAGCGAUUCGAAGAACGCUUCAAUGGUCGAAAGGUACUUGACUCCUUCUUUGUUGACAUUGAUGAUUUCCAUAAUUUGGUUGUAUGUGGUAGAAGCAUUUGGGAUAUGCUUCGGCCUUGGGAGUCUGGCAUUGAUUUUGAUGACCGAGUUUAUCCAAACUUAGUGCGAGUCUUUUAUUCGAACAUGGAAAUCUCCAAUACUCGUCCAAAUAGGAUAGUCACUCAAGUCGGCCGUGUACCCAUAGAAUUUGAUGAUGCGGACUUAGCUGACUUUCUAGGUAUCUCUUGUGAGGGGAUUGACAUCUACACUUCUAGGAAAACCCUCUCCUUUGAUACUUUUUCUCAUACUCACGGCGUCCGUAAUAUAUGUCGUCGUCGAGACUUAUCGGAUGAUAUCUGUCAGCUUCCAUUUCGGUCUCAACUUUUACCGCUCCAAGUUCGUAUUCUUCACUCUAUUCUACAGCACAUAGUGACUCAUAGGAAGGGUCACUCGGAUGAGGUUACGAGGUUAGACGUCGCCUUAUUGGAUAGCCUUAUUACAGACCGUCCCAUUAACCUCGGGUAUAUUAUUGUGCGACAUAUGCUGAGUACUCCAGUGGUCAACCACCGCUUGUUUCCCUACGGCAGUAUCAUCACUAAAAUACUGCGACGCUUUGAGGUGCCACUUCUUGAUACUGGACAUAUGGAGACUCGACGGAUUGGUUCCGAGGCAGUAACCAGUAUCGGAUUCUCUAGAAAGAAUGGAGUGUGGAUAAAGACAAGCAACUCCAAAAACCGGGAUACCUUGAUUGCUCCAGAGGACGAUCGGAUGCUCAAUGAUGUCUAUCGUCCCGACCAGCUUCCUGACUUUAGACUAGGCGCUCAUCCUCAUCCUCCGCGUCGCCGUUUUGUUCCUCAGCCUCCAGCUGACUCAGACUCUGAGGAGCGUGCGAUGGAUGCUGAUAUUCCCUCCUCUUCCGAGCCGCCUACUGCUCCUGAGCCUUCUGCUGUUCCCGAGCAGCCAUCUGCCUCUAUGCCGCCUCCAGCUCCAGUUCAGCCCCCUGCUUCAGACGCAGUGCAGCAGCUGAUCUCUGAUGUUCAGCGGAUUUCGGAGCGCCAGCAGCUAAUUCUUGAUCGGUUGGACACUCUUUCCCGUGACCACCAGCAGCUGCGUUCUGACUUUCAGAUAUUCCAGCGGCAGAGCCUUGAUUAGCAGAUGGAGCUUAUCGCUGGACAGCGCACUAUUCUCGGCUAUUUCGGCUAUGAUCCAAGGAGCACAUCUUCUCCGCCUCCGUAGUUUCUGAGCUUUGUCUUCGCAUAUACAUUUUACAUUCUGGUUGCUAGCAUUUUUAUUAUUAUUUUGAUUUUGAUGCAUAUGUGUGUGAUGUUCUUGAUGAUUAGCUUAUUGAUGCUUUGUGAUUGCCUAAUUGGUUGGAUAUUGUAGAAAUGGUUUAUUUGUGGAUAUUGGAGUGUUGGUAUAUUUGUGGAUAUUGAAGUGUUAUUUUAUCUUGUUCAUGGAGUUGUUGGCUUGUUGAACGCAGAAGUUAAUGUUGAUCUAAUUUUGGAAGUGUUUUAUCUCAUUUUGUAUUUAUGGUUUUACUCAUUUUUAAGGGGAAACUCUGCCAAAAUUUUUUUUUUUUUGCUUGCCAAAACCGGGCACUUUCUUUCAUGAAUUUGCGUAUUUCUUAUUUCCUCUUUCCUUUUGAUGAUGAAGGGGGAGAUAAUUAAAGUUUUUAAGAUGGUUUUUAAGUUUUUAAGAUUUUUUUUUAAAUUUUAAAUGGGGAGAUAUUUGUUUUUAAGAUGGAUUUAAAAUGGGGCAAUUUAUUCACAUUUCUCAAUUUGGCCAUACAUUUAGGGGGAGCACAUAUUAAGGGGGAGCUAAACAUUGAUUAGAAUUUGUCAUCAUCAAAAAGGGGGAGAUUGUUAACAUAAAUAUGUUAAUAAUAUUGAUUUUGAUGCUAACAAAUUUUAAAUGAUUUUUUGAUAAAAGUAUUGGAGCUAUUUCUUAAUAAACGAGAGCCUUAGUAAUCAUUCCAUUCAUGCUUCAUAAAAGAUGGACUUUAAAAUUAGAAAAAGAUUCUCUGCAAAAACUAGUUUAAAAUGCAAUUCUGGUUAUAAACGGUUCACCGUUUAUUUAAACGGUUAACCGAUAACAGCCAGAGAGCAACGUAUUUCCUAAACCUCUAACCGUUUAUGAAAAACGGAAAACACAAAAGAUGGGAAGGUUACUGGAACUUAACGGUGAACCGUUUAUUUUAAACGGUUAACCGAUUAGAACCAGAGAGCAACAUAUUACCUAAGCUCUAACCGUUUAUGCUUAACAGAAAACACCCAAGAUGGGAAGGCUACUGGAACCUAACGGUGAACCGUUUAUUUUAAACGGUUAACCGAUAACGUCCAAAAUUGAAGGUUGUCCUCCUCUGGCACUGAUUAACGAAAACUGAUAAGGCUAAAUUUGUUUUGCAGGUUACUGGAGACAAACGGCGAACCGUUUAUAUCAAACGGUUAACCAAUAAUUUCCAGAGAAGCCACUUCACGCAAGUCCUUAACCGUUUAGCGUAAACGGAUAACAAAUACUCAUUUUGCAGGUCUCUGGAAGUUAACGGCGAAAGGGCAACCCUAAACGGCAAACCGUUUAUUUGAAAUCUGGCCCAACGGUAACUUUGACCAGCCUAAACGGUUAACCGUUUAUGGUUAACGGCGAACCGUUUUCUGUCCGACAGUUUGUAACGGCUAGAUUUUCGGCUCCAAAUAUAAAUAAGCUCAUUCAAAUUCAAAGAUGAUUGAUCACAACACGACCAUUUGAGCUAAUAUUCGAGAAUACAAUCUUCAUAGAGCUUAGAACAUAUUCUUGCUUCAUCUAUUCACAUAUUAAGCAUCAUUGUGUAAUCUUAUAUAUUGUGAGAGGCAAAACAAUUUAUAAUCUUUUAUUUUGAGUGAUUGUAAGUGUUGGGAUACACUUGGGUUAAGAGAUUGGGGAUAAUCUCUUGUUGUAAAGGUUCAUUGACAUCUUGGAAGUCAAGUGUAAGCAUUUGAAGCCUUGGAGGCUUGCUUAGUGGAAUCCUCAGGCCUGGAAAGCUUGGAGGCGUGGACGUAGGCGAGGUUGGCCGAACCACGUAAAAAUCUCGGUGUUUGAAUCCCUCUUCCCUUAUCUUUUUAUAUUGUGAUUCUCUUAAUUGUUAUUGCUUUGAAUUUGAUUUAUAAUUGCAUUAAGAUUUUCUUUAAUAAAUUGAAUAAUUUUUUAGAAUCCCAAUUCACCCCCCCUCUUGGGUUGCAUACUUGUAUUUCAAGUCGAACUUUGGCUUUUGCAAGAAGGAGGAGCCGCCAGAGGAGGGAAACGCGAGACAAAGAGAAGAAAAUCUGAAGUGGUUCGACUUCCAUGGCUGGUUUUAUCUCUUUUGUUACUCUUAAUUCAAGUAUGUCUAGCUAAUUUUCUUAUACUGAGGUUAAGGAUGAAACUCUAUUCAAUGAAAUAAUUAUCUUUUUAUUUAUUUAAUUCCCUAUAUAUGUUCUUUAAUGAUUAUGAUUUUUAUUUUACAUAAUUAAUUGGAUGUUAUUAAAAUCUUUUCAUCAAUUUUGUCAUGCAUUAUUGAUUGUUGGGAUUAAUAUUCGAUUAAAUCUAUGCUUGGAUUUAUAAAGUUUAUACAUGAUUAUCUUUGAUUAUAUGUCUUUCAUUAAAUUGUUUACAUGGAGUGCUUAGGAAACUUUGACUAUUUGUUAUUCAAUAUGUUCACAUGGGAUACUUAGAUGUCAUACUAUUAAGCGGAAAAAGAACCUAUAUUAGAUUUAAUUAUUUGGGCUUAAUUGUUAUAUCCAUGAGAUGACAUAUAUUGAUUUCGAGUUAUCACUCUAAAAUUGGGGAUUAAUGAAUAUUUAGAUAAUUACUAGUUGAAUAGUGGUGGAUUCUGAAACCUUGGUAAUUUCUAUCCUAUUGAAUUCUCCUUUUCUUUAAUUGUUUUCUUAGUUUAAUUAGUUUAAUUUCUCUUAAAACUCAAUUUGCUCAACUAGGCUAGAAUUAAUAUUAAUUUUAUAUUUAAAUUAGACUUUUCAAUUUAUAACAAUCCAUGUGGGAUCGACCUCGUUAUCACUAUUUUAUUUCUAGAUUCGUGCGCUUGCGAGUUUAUUAAAAUUUUCACAACAUUAGUUUAAUCUUUUCUACUGCAUGGCACCUCUUUACUCAAAUAUCAAAUGAGCUUGCUCUUCACGUGACGCUAAAUUUACCAAACUUUAUUUUUUUCCUUAAUUGGCUCGUGUAGGACAGUCGAGGUGUCAUUUUUUUUUUUUUCACCGUUCAACUUCUUAUUUAUUAUUCUUAUACCGCAUGUCAGCUUUCAAUUAGUCCAAAAAUAUCCUUCAAAUUUUACCUCCAAACAAAUCUAAUAACCUCUUGAAAACAAAAAAUUAAAAAUUUAUUCAAUCAUUCAAUGUUAAGGAAAUUGGCCAAGUAAUGGAAUGCUAACAAACCGAAUUAAAUUUCCACAUUUAUUUUUUUUUCUCAUGCAUGCUCUACUAAAAAUAUUUGAUGUCGUGCUAAUGCUCACUGCAAAGUAUAUAUUAGAUGCUCGCGCAUAUACCGUAGGCUAUAGCUAUACAAAAACUUAUACUUGCGUUCUCGAAUGCACACACUUGCACGCAAAAUUCUAUUAUUGAGAGUCGCUGCUUUCUAUAACACGGCCUUUUUCUAGCCUUUCAUUAGACGUGGUUUCAAUUUAUUGAACCAUUAGAGGGACACAUCAGUAGUCACAAAAAUGCCCCUCUGUAGAACCUGAAGGGAACUUCAGUAGCUCAAACACCUUCAGCCUCUGCCCAAGAUUCAAGAUCAGAUUCCUAGAUGCUUGACUAUAGAUGACUUGAAAAAUGUUUAACCAAGAACUUCAAGUGAACAGAACAAUCAAUGGUUUAAGAAUCAAAGAAUCGAAAAAAAACUAAAGAAUAAAGAACAGAGGAGAUUUAACGUGGUUCAGCUAAAACACUUAGCUUACAUCCACGGAGGAACAAGACUUCAGGCUUUUAUUGAAUGAACUCAAGAUUACAGAGAAUUACAGAUUGUAUCUCAUGGAAAUUACUACCUAUUAAACCCAGGAGUAACCCCCUUUUUAUACUCAUAAAUUGUAGCCAGCUAUCUGCACCAGAAUCAGCUCCUUUUCAGUUGCUGAUAACUUCCUGGAAACUAAUCCAGAUGCUCACGUGCAAGCCAUGCUUCAUUAACGACUUUAACGGCUUCUUUCAUUCGAAUCCAUUCACGUGAGUCUCAGGUGUUUCACUUAAGUCAAACGACAUUCCAAGACAUCGUUUCACUUAGCUUUGGUUUACACACCGAAACGCACUCUGUCAAGUCGUUUUGAAUGCCACUGAAUUGCUUUCAAUGGUUACUUUACACCCUCUAAAUGGCAAUUCUUUUAAUCAUUUUGCUGCCGCUCUUCCUUCCAGUCCCAAGUACACAGCCCAAACUUCAAUUUUCUCUGGGAAUAAUGAAUCAUGGCUCAGUCUCAAUAUGUCUUCCAUAUUCCAUGGAACGAGCCAAAGGAGGAGUACUUCUAUAGUUAGUAGCAACUAGCAAUCAUAUUGAUUCUUGAAGGAAUUUUCUGCAUCAGAUAAAGAAAGAGCAGCAGAGAACAAAGCUGUUAAUCAAUCAACACAUGUAAAGCAGUAUUAGUAUUUCUGCCUUAUUGUAGUGCCUAAGUGGGUAUUAGGAUUUCUCCACAAGAACGUUUACUAAGAUAUUCAGCCAAGUGUGAAGUUCAUCAAUAAUCAAUCUUUUCUGGAAAUAAACGAAACAUAUUGAGUGCCAGACUUGUCCAGCCUCUGAAACAGGAUUUCAGAGCAAGCAACAGAACAAAGACAGAAAAUACAUUCAACUGAACCCAACACCAGAAAGCAUCACAAAUAUUAUUUAUUUUUUGUACACAAUUAACGAACCGCCGUUGAAGCACAAAUCAAUGAACUCUCAACUGAAAAUCCGAAACGAAAUUUCUUAUUUAUGAAUAGACAGCGGAAACAAAGAAACCAAAAAAAAUGUCCACCGCCGUAGGAUCAGGAUUUAUUUGUGUAGACAGUAGAAGUGAAGACGGAAAGGAUUCUGGUAGAAAUUGAAGUUCGGGCUGCAGUUAUGAUGUUUUCUUCUCUGAUUUCACCUACACAAGUCAUUGAAGAAAUUGUGAAAAAUAAGAAUUUUAAAUUACAUUUUUUUCCUUAACUAUUAAAACAAAUGAACGCCGAUGUCUGCUAGGCUCAUGGUUGAAUGUGGUCUCCAUUGCUGCUAAAGAGGGCUUGAUGAUUGGGGUGAGUAUCGGAAACACUUUGUAUAACCAUUUUUGUAUUGAAGACAAGGGGAAAAAAAGUAUAUGAAAUUGGAUAAAUAAUUAAAAUUUGAAGAAAUUGGGUAAAACGAGAAACAUACAUCAAAUUCAAUAGGGGCUAAUCAAAUUCCGUAAGGAUAUAGUUGAAUGCCGCACUGUUCCUUGUCCUCAAAUUCCCGUAGCUUUUGUCUCAGCUCUGGCUGAGGCCACCAGCAAUCGAACUUGUUUAAGCUCUUUAUGCACCAGAGCUGUUCAGGCAUCUUUUUCAAGUAAGCACAAGGGUUGAUAAUCAAGCAUUCUAGUUUUGGCAUGGCUCCAAUCCCCAUAGUCCACUCCCCUAGCCAUAGCAUUGAUUUCAGGUGCAAUACCUUGAGAUUUGGAAAACCAUAAGAGCCACAAGUCAGCUUUCUACCUUGUGAAGAAAGCUCAUUGUGCUGAACUGAGAAAAGAGAGGAAGUCAGAAGCUAAGGUUCAUCAGCAAUGCCACGUCAACAAUGCUGAGUCAGCUGAUUCUGUUAAGCAACAAUGAGAGCUCACGUGUGUUGCAGUUAGUUAGUAUUAGCUAACCUCUUACUGAUUAGUUAGUUAAAUUUCAGAGUAAUAUAGAUUAGUUGAUAUAGCUUUUACUAACAAAAUAUGUAACUAUAUAAAGUCUGGAGUUUUACUCAUUUGUUAUUAAUAAUAAACAAUCCAGUAUAUUCAUCAUAUUUCUCUCUGUUUUCUUAGUAACCAAACAACAUUUUCGAUUCAAUUUUUCAUGGUAUCAGAGCUAGAAAUAUGGCAAGCUCAAGCAAUUUAAACACAAAUCCAAACGCAACAAACAUGAAUCAAUCAAUACAAACUACCUUUUCAUUUAUUACGCCAAUCAAAUUGGAUAGAUCCAAUUAUAUGCUCUGGCGAAAUCAAGUAUUAGCUUCCAUAAGAGGAAACAGACUCGAAGGCUAUAUCAAUGGAGAAAAAGCAGCACCUACUCAGUUUCUUACUUCUGGAAGCUAUGCUGAAACAAUGGGAAGAGUUUCACAACAAGUUGAAAAUCCAGAAUACACGAUCUGGAGAUCACAGGAUCAAACAUUACUAAGCUGGCUAUUAAGCUCAAUUACUGAAGGUAUUCUCAGUCAUGUUCAUUCUUGUAAUACUGCAUAUGAUGUGUGGAAAACUUUGGAGAAAAAGUUUGGUGCAAAAUCAGAAGCUAGAGUUCUUCAACUCAAAUAUGAGAUGAGUGUUUUGAGAAAAGAUUCGCUAAAUAUAGAGGAUUAUUGUUUGAAAAUGAAACAAAUAGCUGACAAAUUAACCUGUGCUGGUAGUCCAGUUUCUGAUAAAGAUCUGUUACAACAGAUUCUUAAUGGUCUUGGACCAGGCUAUCUAGAUUUAGCAACUUUCAUUACUGCAAGUAAGCUGGAUUUUGAUGAUUCAUAUGCAUUGCUAUUGACACAUGAAACAAGAUUAGAACAGAGUCUAAAUGAAAAACAGAUGCUCAAUGCAAAUCUUGCUAAUGUUUCUCAUAAUAACAAUAGCUAUGGUAUGAUGAAUGCUUAUUAUGCUCAAACAAGAGGUAAUGCUCGAAGAGGUGGAUAUAAUGGAGGAUUUCAUGGUGGAAAUCAAUUUGGAAGGAAUAAUUUUCAUACUGGAAAGGGAAUGUUUAUCAAUUCUCAUCCAAGAGGAUUUCCUUCUGGAUCUGGAAAUUUUGGUAAUAAUCUUGGUAGAGGUCAAAUGAUUGGAAACAACAAUAAGCAGACACAAUUCAUGAGAGGACAAUAUAGUAUUAACUCUGGUUUGUCAAAUCCUGAUGGUAGUGAUGAACAAUCUGUUGUUUGUCAAAUCUGCUUUAAAACUAGACACACAGCAGCUGAAUGUUGGCAUAGGUUUGAAGAAAACUAUAUGCCUCAACACAUGAAAAGAGGAAGAAAUCAGAGAUCAGCCUAUAUGACAUACCUUACUGCACCUUCUGAAGACUCAUGGCCUGCUACAGCUGCUUAUUCAGGGAUACCUCACAUGUAUAAUCCACCAUGUUCUUCAUACAUAUCUGAUUCAAUGAGCUUGCCUGUGGCUGGAGCUGGAGCUGCUUAUGCUGCUAACUUUGAAGGACCAGCAGAUGAAGGAUGGUAUCUUGACAGUGGAGCUACACACCAUCUGACAAAUGAUAUGGCAAAUAUGCAUGUCAGCAGUGAGUUCAGAGGUAAUGACAAGCUUAUCAUUGCUGAUGGUAAAGGUCUGUCAAUCACACAUGUUGGUAAUGCCAAUUUUAAAGUUCAAAGCUCUAAAACACAAUCUGCUAGUACAUGCAUUGCACUUAAAGAUAUACUGCUUGUUCCAUCUAUUACAAAGAACCUAAUAAGUGUUUCUAAACUCACCACUGAUAAUGACUUAUCUGUUGAAUUUCUUGGUUCUGUUUGCUUUGUGAAGGAUAUACUGAAAGGGAAAAUUCUGCUACUGGGUAUUGCUGAGAAAGGUUUAUACAAAUUGCAGCUGAGUUCAUCACCACAACCUACAUAUACAUCUUUUCUAUCCCAGAGUUCAAUAAAUAAGCCUGUAUCUAUGCUAUCUCAGUGUCAUUUCAGCACUUCAGUCAAUAGUCAUUGUUCUGGAAAAUAUUCUCAGUCCAAUAAGAACACUUGUAGCACUGAUUCAUUCAAUAAAAUGUCUUUGUUUCACAAAAGAUUUGGUCAUCCUAAUACUCAAAGUCUAAUUCAUUUACUUAAGCUUGUGCAUCCUAAUUUGUGCUCUACAAAUAUUGUUAAUCAAGCAACAAAGCAUUUCUGUGAAGCAUGUCAGCUGGGAAAAUUUCACAGACUCCACUUUCCAAUUACAGAUAUAAAAUCCAAAUCAGCACUAGAACUUGUUCAUAUUGAUUUAUGGGGUCCCUCACCAGUAUGUUCUAGAGAUGGUUUUAGAUAUUACAUUAGCUUUGUGGAUGAUUAUACAAGAUACACCUGGAUUUAUCCUUUGAAACUGAAAUCAGAAGCUCUAGAAGUGUUCAAACUGUUUAAACUUCAAGUUGAAAAUCAAUUUCAAACAACUAUCAAAAUUCUCCAAUCUGACUGGGGGGGAGAAUACAGGCCAUUCACUGCCUUCCUAAAUGAAUGUGGCAUUCUCUUUAGACAUUCUUGCCCUUACACUCACCAUCAAAAUGGCCUUGUUGAGAGGAAACACAGACAGAUUGUAGAAUUAGGAUUGACACUUCUAGCUCAAGCCAAACUCCCUUUUCAAUUCUGGUGGGAUGCUUUUCAUGCCUCAGUUUAUCACAUUAAUAGACUCCCUACUUCUGCACUUAAGAUGACCACUCCAUAUGAAAAACUUUACAAACACAAAGCUGAUUAUACCAUGCUGAAAUGCUUUGGAUGUGCUUGUUAUCCAUAUCUGAGAGAUUACAAUAAGCAUAAGUUUGACUAUCACACAACCAAGUGCAUCUUUCUUGGUUACAGCCCAUUUCAUAAAGGUUAUAAGUGUUUUCAUCCCUCUGGUCAUAUAUAUAUAGCUAGGCAUGUUGUUUUUGAUGAAUACUCAUAUCCAUUUGCUUCAGAUCCUAGCUUUCAUCCUUCAGAUAAAUCUAAGUCUGAUACAUAUUGCACAAUUACUCCUAUUCAAGUUUUUCAGUUGUCAACAUUACCUGUCAUAUCAGAUCUUUCAGUCACCAGCAAUGAAUCUUUUUCUCAAGCAUACUCCAGUGGCAACAUUUUCCCUCCAGCAGUAGUCUCAACACAGGUAACAGAUCAGCAACCCUCAAACACAGAUAGAAAUAAUUCAUCUGCACCUACAGUGUUGCCUUCUGUACCUGAUACAAUAUUAGAUCAGCCCUCAGAUGAAAUUUCCCAAAACCAACACAAUAAUAAUACCUCUCAUCUCAAUCAGACAGUGAUAACCCCACCACCAUUAAACCAACAUCCUAUGAUCACUAGAGGGAAAGCAGGUAUCUUUAAACCAAAGGUAUAUACUGCAGUAUUGUUGCAUAAAGAACCAGAUACUGCUCAGGAGGCUAUAAAUGAUGAGAGAUGGUUUCAAGCAAUGAAGACUGAAUAUGAUGCACUGAUGUCAAAUGGUACCUGGACACUUGUGCCAAGAACAGAACAUCACAAACUUGUUGGUAACAAAUGGGUGUUUCGAGUAAAAUCAAACACUGAUGGAAGUGUUGCAAAAUAUAAGGCAAGGUUGGUUGCUAAAGGAUUUCAGCAGAUAGAAGGAGUUAACUACUUUGAGACUUUCAGUCCAGUGGUGAAAGCAGCAACAGUUAGAGUGGUCCUAAGCUUAGCAGUAAUGAAUCAAUGGCAAAUAAGACAGGUUGAUGUAAAUAAUGCAUUCCUAAAUGGAGAUCUAAUUGAGGAGGUAUAUAUGAGUCAACCAGAAGGGUUUAUUGAUUCCAAAAGGCCUGAUUUUGUGUGCAAACUUCACAAGGCACUCUAUGGUUUGAAACAAGCUCCACGAGCAUGGUUUGACAAGCUGAGAAACAGUCUUAUGCAAUGGGGAUUUGAGAACUCAAAGUCUGAUUCAUCUUUGUUCUUGAAGAAGAAUAAAAGAUCAAUUAUUUUAAUCCUGAUAUAUGUAGAUGAUAUAUUGAUUACAGGAUCAAAUGGUGAUGAGCUGGAAGAUUUUAUCAAGCUAUUUAGUUCUGCAUUUGCAUUAAAGGAUCUGGGAAAGCUAUCUUACUUCCUUGGAAUAGAAGUCUUGUAUGAUACUGAUAGUGUAUAUCUAUCACAAAGGAAGUAUAUUAGAGAUCUGCUGGCUAAAGUUGAUAUGCUCGAGUGUAAAGGAAUAGACACACCAAUGAGCAGCAGCAAAGAUUACAGAUUGCAGAAGAGUGUUGAAGGAGAAAUGGGUUACUACAUAGAAGAUCCAUCUCAUUACAGAAGCAUAGUAGGAGGCCUCCAGUAUUUAGUUUUGACAAGACCUGAGAUUGCCUACUCUGUUCAUAAGCUAAGUCAGUAUGUAGCUUCACCAACACUUCAACAUCUUAUGGCUUGUAAACGUGUGCUUAGAUAUCUUAAGGAAACACAAGACUAUGGGCUGAAAUUUGUUAAAGAAGGUGAGUUGAAGGUUACAGCAUUUACAGAUGCAGAUUGGGGAAGUGAUCUUGAUGACAGAAGAUCCACUGGUGCCUAUUGUGUGUAUCUAGGGAACAAUUUAAUCUCAUGGUCCUCAAAGAAGCAAUCUGUAGUUACAAAAUCUUCUGCAGAGAGUGAAUACAGAGCACUUGCAGCAGCUGUUUCAGAGAUAACAUGGUUAAAAUCCUUAUUUCUUGAGAUUGGUUUAUGUUGUGUGGAGAAACCAGUUAUAUGGUGUGACAAUGUGAGUGCCAAAGAACUUGCUUAUAAUCCAGUGUUUCACUCAAGAACAAAACACAUAGAAAUUGAUCUGCAUUUUAUCCGAGAUAAGGUUCUAGCUGGAGAUCUUAAGAUUCUCUAUGUUCCCAGUGCAGAGCAGAUAGCAGACAUAAUGACUAAGCCUUUAAACUCUACUCAGUUCACCUAUCUGAGAGACAAACUUAAUGUGCAUUUAUGCCCCUUGAGUUUGAGAGGGGCUGUGAAGAAAGCUCAUUGUGCUGAACUGAGAAAAGAGAGGAAGUUAGAAGCUAAGGUUCAUCAGCAAUGCCACGUCAACAAUGCUGAGUCAGCUGAUUCUGUUAAGCAACAAUGAGAGCUCACGUGUGUUGCAGUUAGUUAGUAUUAGCUAACCUCUUACUGAUUAGUUAGUUAAAUUUCAGAGUAAUAUAGAUUAGUUGAUAUAGCUUUUACUAACAAAAUAUGUAACUAUAUAAAGUCUGGAGUUUUACUCAUUUGUUAUUAAUAAUAAACAAUCCAGUAUAUUCAUCAUAUUUCUCUCUGUUUUCUUAGUAACCAAACAGCAUUUUCGAUUCAAUUUUUCAUACCUGAAUACGAGUUUUGCUUCAGUUUGAGCACUUGAAGAAGCGGCAGCUUUUCUAGUGUUGGCAUGGGAUCAUCCAUUAGGUCAGUAUUAGAAAAACUCAAGUGGGUUAGACUAUGAGGAAAUAGGUAUUCAGCAAGGACGAUUUUGGAGAGCCGUGGCAUCUUGCUUUCAUUCACCAGCUUCAACGACUCGAGACAGCUCAAUCUGCAGAGACUUUUGGAAAACAAAGAUUGAUUAUAACUUAAAUCUCCCCGUAUUCGGAGAUUUCGAAGAUUAGGUAGUCUGCCCAAUAUAUCUUCAGUACAGCAGCAAGGAUGCAAGGCAGAAAUGAAAUUGAGAUUUUCCAGAGAGCCGCAAUAUUUUCCUGGAUGCGCAGGAAGUGUGAUUGACCCAAAAUUUAGAUGCCUGAGUUUUUUCAUCUUCCAAAAUUCAUCUGCUGUAUGAUCUAUAUAGCUAAUGGGCAUGUCUAGGGUGUAGAGGUUCAGAAGAUUGCUUAACAAUGAGGAAGGCAGGCUUUUGAGGGAAGGGAUAUUCAACUUCAAAUAUCUCAAAAGAAAUAAAUUUUCAAUUCCGGAUGGAUACUGGAUGAGAACAAGAGAUUCCAAGUCCAAUACUCUGAGAAGUUUGAACAUUCCACAAAUGUUCUCCCAAUCCAUGGGGUCAAAGUGGCGGGUUUCUGGAGAGCAGAACAACAAAGACUGCAGUUGCGAGUCAUAAUCAUCUAAGCAAGCAAAAUCACCCUCUCUUUCAACAGCGUUUAACCGUUUGGCAUUUUUUUGUGAUUUACCUUCUGGAUCCAUGAAAGGGGAAAAGAUAAAUUCCACCCUAUAAGGAACUGUCAUCAACACAGGAUGGCAACGACCUGGAAUAGAGCAUGUGUUGAUAGUGCCUGCAGCUUUUCUCUUCUUUGCUUCAACAAAGCCUCCCUUGAUUAGUUGUUCUAAGUAAUUCUCAGCAGUUGCCUCACUAUUGUCUGGGAUGAAACCUUCAGCUAUCCACAACUGAUAUAACUGCCUGGUGGAUAUCUCUAGGUGUGCGGGAAACACAGAUAAGUAGAGAAAACAAAGUUUCAAGCAAAAAAGUAACCUGCAAUAUUUGAAGUACCGAAGGACAAAGGGUGUCUCGAAUACUUCCUCUAUAUUUUCUUCAAAUGAGAUGCUUC
rnacentral:lncRNA from 1 species